UGCAGUUCAGUUAGCAAACAUUAGCUUCCUCGUUGUCUCUCACUAGUUGAAGUGCGAUAUAGAAGGCCUACCUGCUCAAACUGUCUGGUGUCUUUCAGCUUUUUCGUGUAAACCAUGCACGGGCAAGUUUAUCUACUCCAGUACUCUUGCGCUCUGGAAGUUUCGAGAUACGUAUUGUCGGCUAUGUAGCUUGGGCGGCUCCGUUUAUUUCCUAUAUACUAGAAGAACGCCCGUGCGUUGCAACGGGGCCACAUUAACUUUAAGAGUUCAAUAUUAAUAUUCUCAUACAUAUCAAUCCUUCUUCUCCUUCCGUCUGCCACCAAGACAGGGACCUAGACUUUGUGCUGCUCUUAUUGAUUUGAAACCCAGACGAGAUGGGGUGGUGGGAGGGGGGACGAAAAAACCCAGACGAAACAAAGGAGAAGGAGAGCCUCAUCAGUAGCAUCAUGGUGAAUUUCAAACCUAGCGUUGUGCUCCGCCCAACGAACAUGGACGGCGCCGCCGGCGGCCCGGUGGAGCUCGAACCCGAGAGACUCUGCUGCUUGCUGGGAGGGGUCGGGGAGGGUCGGAGCACAUGAGCAUUGACGUGAAGACAGAGUAGGCCGGGGAGAUUACUGUGCACGCCGCACAGCGACUUGGACCUCGGAGGGCCUUAGCUCUGUCAGGAGGAGGUCCCGAGUUCCUGCCGAGGACAGCCUGACGGGGGAGACGCACGGCCGCUCGCGCUGCCCGCAACGCGACCACGCCCUGCCCUAGGGUUCUGCGACGGCGGCAGCGUCGUCCACAGCCACACCCUCUCUGAGUCCUGCCCUGAACUGGGGUUCCGAGAUGGCGGCGGUGGCGGAGGUCUCUGAGGUUGGAGAGGGGCAAGAUGUAGGACGGCGGAGGCUGGAGCCUGGAGCGAUGGCGGCGUUUCGGGAUUGCAGGCAGGGGGACGUGCGAGGUGAGUGUUUUUUCACCGGUUUAUGUUGUGUUGCCUGCACGGAUAUAUAGGAGAACAAAUAGGUGGAUUAUAAUUCCUUCCAUUGUAUAAGUGCUGGGAAAGGAAGCGAGGGACAAAAAUCAAUCGAGGGGCCUUUAAGACUAGAGAUUAGUUAAUUGGAUUUUUCUUUAAAGUCUGUUAUUUGUUUUCUUAAAAUUUAUUAUAUGUUUCCUAAAUCAAAUUGCAUUGAUGGGAUGGAUCGAUUGAUUUGGAUAGUCUAUUAUUUGUUUCCUUCACAUCCAUUAUAUGUUUCCUAAAGCAAAUUGCAUUGAUGAGAUGGAUCGUUUGAUUUGGAUGGAUCGAUUGAUUUGUUUCCUUAAAAUUGGAUUUUUUUUAAAGUUUGUUAUUUGUUUCCUUAAAAUUUAUUAUAUGUUUCCUAAAUCAAAUUGCAUUGAUGGGAUGGAUCGAUUGAUUUAGAUAGUCUAUUAUUUGUUUCCUUCACAUCCAUUAUAUGUUUCCUAAAGCAAAUUGCAUUGAUGAGAUGGAUCGUUUGAUUUGGAUGGAUCGAUUGAUUUGUUUCCUUAAAAUUGGAUUUUUCUUUAAAGUCUGUUAUUUGUUUCCUUAAAAUUUAUUAUAUGUUUCCUAAAUCAAAUUGCAUUGAUGGGAGGGUGACGCAUGGAAAGUUAUGAUCCGUUAAGAUUUUUUUCGUUGUGUGAGAGGGUGACGUGAAACUAAACUGGUGGGGUAGGGGAGGGACGAAAAAAACCAGCGAAAUGAAACGGGUGGGAGGUGGGAGGAAGUACCAAAGAAGUACCAAAAAAAUCGGGUGAGGUGGGACGAAAAAAAACCUGGAAGCGAGACUACCAACUGCUCCAUUAGAAGUAGAGAUAAACUGUACUACACCUGGACCGUUGGCCAGUUCGUCUGUAAUUUACGAUCUGUCAAUAACUCCAUAACAGUGAGCACGGUGCAUACUUGUGAUUUUGAGGCCUGCACUUUACACAUGUACUCCCUCUGUUCGGAAUUACUUGUCACAAAAAUGAAUAAAAAUGGAUGUAUCUACAACUAAAAUACAUCUAGAUACAUUUAUUUCUUGGACGAGUAAUUUCGAACAGAGGGAGUAAUAAUAAGAGACUGAGUAAAGUUUUGUUUUACUAAUCGGUCUGGGACCUUGUCGUUUAUAGUGCUGUUGAUCUUGUGGUUUGAUAUUUUGCAAGCUUCCUGUAUUACUCAAUCGAAAGCAACAUUGGCAUGUACUCCCUCUGUCUCAAAAUGUAAGACGUUUUUUGACGCUAUUCUUUGAGAGAUUGAGUACUUACAGCUGUUCCGUUUGGACGCUGCGUACAUCCUGAAGCGGCAACGGCUUGCUCUUGGCUUUUGCAUCUUGUUUCGGCAGAAACGCCUUCAGUUUGGAUAGUAGGGUGGUAUUUGUUGCCAUUGAAGCCCAUGACUUCUCUCUCCUUUUCAAGGUUCUGAAGUUUUCUUUGUAACCUAUGGUCACAAAACAAAAUAGUGUGAAGUUUUACUCUUUUUUUUUAGCAACGUGUGAAGUUUUACUUGGAUCCAUUUGUGGCAGAAAUCCUAAAUAAGAAACUCGUGUCCGAAACCAAAUGGCAAAGAUCCAUGCAGCUUUUGACUCCUCGGGCGCAGCAUAGUGCACCUGCAUGCGUCCUCUCUUCCUGCCUCUUAUGAUUUCAGGAGCUUUUCUUCUUCAUCAGUCUCCUGUCUCCCAGUUCGUGGAGGCUCGGUUGGUGGUGCAUGAUAUCGAUGCAGUUUCAGGGAUCUGUGUCCUGAUUCUUGGCUGGCCGAUGCAUGCACGCGUACGUUCCCUUUUUCUCAUCCGUUCGUUCCAUCGACACGACAUCCAGAAUAAAGUGAUUACAUGUUGUGGUCGAUUGGAUCCCAUUCACCUGUGCCGGAUCUUGGCAGUGCCAAAAGGAGGGGUCUGCGUGCAUCAUGAAACGGGAAUUGAUGACCUGUGGGGUAGCGAAACUGACGAGCAUGUGUAACAGUGUCGACAGAAAUGCCAGAUCUGUGGCAGUGUCCACGUACUUGCAUCUUCAAAUGACUCCCUGUUUGUUCACGGACGGCAGCGGUUGUGCCCCCGUAUCCGAAUCAUCAAAUUCAUACAAAACCAUGCAACAUCGAUCAGCAAAAGUAAAAAUAACAACAAUAGAUACAUGAUGUAUCAAGUGAAAACUGCUUUUCAGUGAAAAUCUGGAAACUUUUCACGUGGAUCAUCGGAUCUGUAAUGAACGACACAGAUUGAAGGUGGGAAACCCAACCUGCCACUUAAACGCUAAUUAACAGAUAACCCCCUGUUAUUCACAGAUAAGGUGGAAAUUCUUUUGAGGGCUCGUGACUGUAUCAGUUCGUCUUCCAUCUCGUGCGCUGCGGCGGCGAUGGAGUCUCCGGCCCCCUGGCGCUCUGCCGGCCGCUACAGGAUCUCCGUCGGUGCUAGACUGGACCUUCACCGGGCUGCGGAUCACCCUCCACCGGCCACAACUCACGCCACGAUUUGCCCUUCGCCCGCCACGACUCACCCUUAGGAACGCGAAGAUCUCGCCGGAUUCUCGUCUACCUGCACAAGGAUCUUGCCGCGGCGCCGGCGAACUUGGCCGCAAAUCAACGGGCAGGCAACAACUGCUCUUCCCCGACUCGAGGGCGAUUUGGAGUCCCCGGUGUUGCUCCACGCUACGGCCACCCAGUGAUGCCUCACGCAAACAGUGAUCCGACGGCCGCAGCACUGCCCCAGGCAACAUCAAUCAGGCUAUUUCGGCACUAACUCCAUGUGACGGUGACGCGUCAGACUCGGCUACGCUUGCACUUUGCUUUGAUUCUGAAGCGGCCUAGUUGUACUGAAUGAAUGUGGCAAAAGCCGUAUGAGCAUAGCUUAAUCCUGAACAUUGUGUGGCAAGAACCAAUUUCAAAAGCUAGUCUAAGCUGUGGAAGAUGAAGAAAAACAAUAUAUAUUGAGCAUUUUGCAGCAGCUUAGUGGGAGCUUUUCUGAUUUUGUUUUAUCUUAUGUAAAAAGAGUUGUGAACAUGGCUGCAGACCACACGGCCAAUCUGCAUCUUGUACUAGGCUUCAUCAUGUCUCUGGUGUACUGCUCCGUUUUUUCAACACUGGUGUACUGCUCCCUUAUAUGCAGCAUUUCAACAUGACUUGAACAUGCAGUGAUAAUAAUAGAAGCUCUAAUUUCACUAAGAAAAACUGAAUGCGGCAAUUUGGCCACCGUAGAGAUUCUGUGUAGACAAUUUCUGAUGUAAUCCGUGGAUGUAUGAUAGUACUCAACGAUGCAGAACAGGUUGUUUUCAAGGUUGCAUAGCAGGAUUAGAAACUUUGACAAGGAUAAACAUGUGCAUUUGAUUGUCAUUAUUCAUUACAUUGCAGAAAUUUGAUGCUUUUGUACAACUUUAUCGACUGUAGUAUUUCGAAACAAUGGAAGUUGUAUCUUUAUUCAUUUUAGUAUGAUGGAUGACUUACUACUUUACUACUUCUGCUUGCUUGAUCUCCUGAUGUGGACCAUGGCAGCGAGCAUCGGCACGGGAAAGAAGAGGCAACAUCUGGCCGCCAAAAGAAAUCACGCAUGUACUGAUGUUGUUGCCUGCCCGUUGAACUGCGGCCAAGUUCACUGGCGCGGCAACGAGCUCUUUGUGCAGGUAGAUGAGAAUCUAUCGGAUCUUCAUGCUUCGAAGGGUGAGUCGUGGCCGGCAGAGGGCAGAAGGGCAAAUCAUGGUGGGCCGCAGCCCGGUGAAGGUCCAGCCUACCGUCGACGGAGGCCCUGUCGGGGCCGGCAGAGGGCAAACGGCCGGGGACUCCAUCGCCGCCGCAGCGCACGAGAUGGAAGCCGAACCGAUACAGUCACGAGCACUCAAAAGAUCUACCUUAUCGGUGGAUAACAGGGGGUUAUCCGCUAAUUAGCAUUUAAGUGGAAGGUUAGGGAUCCCACCUUCAAUUUGUGUCGUUCAUUACUGAUCCGAUGACCCACGCGAAAAGUUUCCAGAUUUUCACUGAAAAGCAGUUUUCACUUGAUACAUAGACAUGGCAUGUUCAUACACAUAAGGCCAACUCCAUCGCGCGACCCCAUCUUGUUCAGUUGCGUCCGUUUGGGGUAAAACGGACAAAUAGCGCGGUCCAACGCGCGGCCUCAAACGGACAAAUGUUCGGAGUCCGUCCGUUUUCGACCCAUCCCCGGCCCAAAGUUGCACUCGGUUUGGGGUGAAAUGGACGCGCGCGGACGGCCGCGACGCACGCCCUUGCCCCCCCGAUACAUCUCCAACGUAUCUAUAAUUUUUGAUUGCUCAAUGCUACUUUAUCUACUGUUUUAGGCAAUAUUGGGCUUUAUUAUCCACUUUUAUAUUAUUUUUGGGACUAACCUAUUAACCAGAGGCCCAACCCAGAUUUGUUGUUUUAUGCCUAUUUCAGUGUUUCGAGGAAAAGGAAUAUCAGACGGAGUCAAAAUGGAACGAAAUCAACUGGAGAAGUUAAUUUUGGAAGGAAACCAACCUGAUGGGCUUGGAGUGCACGCCAGGGGAGUCCCGGGCCUGGGCGCGCCCCCUACCUCGUGAGCAGCCCGGAGGUCCACCGACGUACCCCCUGCACCCAUAUAUACCUAUCUACCCUAAAACUUUCAGAACAGAAGAUAGAUCGGGAGUUCCGCCGCCGCAAGCCUCUAUGGCCACCAAAAAACCAAUCGCGACCCUGUUCCGGCACCCUGCCGGAGGGGGAUCCCAUCACCGGAGGCCAUCCUCAUCAUCCCGGCGCUAUCCAUGACGAGGAGGGAGUAGUUCACCCUCGGGGCUGAGGGUAUGUACCAGUAGCUAUGUGUUUGAUCUCUCUCUCUCGUGUUCUUCUAUGGCACGAUCUUGAUGUAUCCCGAGCUUUGCUAUUAUAGUUGGAUCUUAUGAUGUUUCUCCUCCUCUACUCUCUUGUGAUGAAUUGAGUUUCCCCUUUGAAGUUAUCUUAUCGGAUUGAGUCUUUUAUGAACACUUGUUGUAUGUCUUGCGUGGGAUAACCGUGGUGACAAUGGGUUAUUCUAUUGAUCCACUUGAUGUAUGUUUUGGUGAUCAACUUGCGGGUUUCGUGACACUUGGGAACCUAUGCAUAGGGGUUGGCACACGUUCUUGACUCUCCGGUAGUAGCUUUGGGGCACUCUUUGAAAUACUUUUAUGUUGGUUGGAUGAAUCUGAGAUUGUGUGAUGCAUAUCGUAUAAUCAUGCCCACGGAUACUUGAGGUGACAAUGGAGUAUCUAGGUGACAUUAGGGUUUUGGUUGAUUUGUGUCUUAAGGUGUUAUUCUAGUACGAACUCUUUUAUAGAUCGAUCCGAAAGAAUAACUUUGUGGUGGUUUCGUACCCGACCAUAAUCUCUACGUUUGUUCUCUGCUAUUAGUGUCUUUGGAGUGACUCUUUGUUGCAUGUUGAGGGCUUGUCAUAUGUUCUAUCUAUGUUAUUAUUGUUGAGAGAACUUACACUAGUGAAAGUAUGAACCCUAGGCCUUGUUUCCUAUCAUUGCAAUACCGUUUACGCUCACUUUUAUCGCUUGUUACCUUGCUGUUUUUAUUAUUUCAGAUUACAAAAAAUUUUAUCUACUAUCUAUUUUGCACUUGUAUCUUCAUCUCUUCGCCGAACUAGUGCACCUAUACAAUUUACCAUUGUAUUGGGUGUGUUGGGGACACAAGAGACUCUUUGUUAUUUGGUUGCAGGGUUGUUUGAGAGAGACCAUCUUCAUCCUACGCCUCCUACGGAUUGAUAAACCUUAGGCCAUCCACUUGAGGGAAAUUUGCUACUGUCCUACAAACCUGUGAACUUGCAGGCCCAACAACGUCUACAAGAAGAAGAUUGUGUAGUAGACAUCAAGCUCUUUUCUGGCACCGUUGUCGGGGAGGUGAGUGCUUGAAGGUAUAUCUUUAAAUCUUGCAAUCGAAUUUUUUUGUUUCUUGUUUUAGCACUAGUUUAGUUUAUAAAAGAAAACUACAAAAAAAUGGAGUUGAUUUUGUCUCAUACGCUUCACCUUUUUAAUAUCUUUCGUGAGUAUGAUGGAAAGGAUAAUUGUGCCCAAGUGCUAGAAGAAGAAAUCUCUAAAAUGUUUGGCACUAAAUCUUUGAAUGAUGAGCAUGAUUGCAAUGUUUUUAGUACGAAUUCUUUGAAUAUCCAUGAUGCUAAUGAUGAUUGCACUAGUUAUGAUGAAAAUAUCUCUUAUGAGCAUGCCAACUUUUGUGGAGUGCAUGUUUGCAUGAACACACCAAAUAGGGAAAAUAUUUAUUGCAAGAGGCAUAAGUACUUAGAAACCAAAUUGUUGCAAGAAGAUCUAGAUGAAUGUGCUGAAAGAUUCAAUAUUUUUCGCGCUCCUUGUGAACUUUGCAAUGAACAUGGUCAUUUAAAGCUCCAAUGCUAUUUGUUUCAUGAUCGUGUCAUGUCCAAAUAUUGUGAUAAUUUGAUUACCCUUGAGCAUUAUAAAGAGCUUAGCCUUCUUUUGGGGUAUGAAGAAAUGAAACGUAUAACUGAGGGUAUUCCAGAAUUUGCCCUUGAUAGAAUUCUUCAUUUUGAUCUAGAAAAGAUUUAUAUGUAUUGUGCGGAGAAUUGCAUUGAAAAUCCUUAUAUUGCCAAUUACAUAAAGAAAAAGAAACAAAUAGAAAAUGAUGAGAAUACUAAUGAAAGGGAAGAGGCUUCCCAAUAUCUUUCUAUUAUUUCUUAUGAUGAAUCAUGUAACGAGGAGGAGCUUUCUAUUCAACCAAUCUCGUCAAUAAGGAGCUCAAACAGGAAGGUUGAACCCACACAUAAUGUGAAGAAGAAAAAGAAAAGAAGGAGCAACAAAGGUAGAAAGGUAUCCCUCCCAAAUGAUGUUGCUCCUACUACUCAUUGUGAUGAUGACAAUUGCUAUACUAUUGGUGCUAUCAAUAUUUUUAAUGAUGAGAGUGAUUAUGCUUAUGAUAUGAAAGGGCCCAAGCUUGGGGAAGCUAUGUUUGAUGAGGAUGAAAUAUUUGAGAAUAUAUUUGCUGGAAUUAAUGUUUGUCCCAAGCUUGGGGAUGCUAUGUUUAAUGAAGAUGAUAUUUUUAGCAUCCCAAGUUUUGAUAUGCAAAGUUGUUAUGAUGAUAGCAUGCCUCCUAUGUAUGAUGAUUAUAUUGAUGAAAGUGGGUUCGGAAGAGUGUCAACUUUAGGAAGUAGUGAUCCCACUAUUUUGGAGGAUGUUGGAUUUUAUUGUGAUGAAUAUGAAAGUGGAUUUGGAAGAGUGUCAACUUUAUUUAGUGAUUCCACUAUCUUGGGAGAGGUUUCAAUCGAUUAUGAUGAGAACGAAGUUGCUACUUAUGAUGAUUAUUGUGAUAAAACUUAUGCUAUAAAAAGUAGUGAUGAUUAUAUUUACAAAUCUUGUCAUGAUUAUGAUUACCCUUUUUCUGAACGUUACUCUUUUAAUGUGGAAACAAUUUUUAGUGUUUAAGUCUCUUAUGAUACUCCUACUAUUCCGAAUGAGAAGAAUUUUGCUUAUGUUGAGAGUAGUAAAUUUUCUAUGCUUGUAGAUCAUGAAAAGAAUGCUUUAGGUGCUGGUUAUAUUGUUUAAUUCAUUCAUGAUGCUACUGAAAAUUAUUAUGAGGGAGGAACAUAUGCUUGUAGGAAUUGCAAUAAUGUCAAGUUUCCUCUCUAUGUGCUCAAAAUCUUGAAGCUAUGCUUGUUGUGCCAUCCUAUGCUAGUUGAUUAUUGUUCCCAUAAGUUGUUUGCUCACAAAAUCCCUAUGCAUAGUAAGUGGGUUAGACUUAAAUGUGCUAGUCAUAUGCUUCAUGAUGCUCCCGUUAUGUUUCAAUUUUUAUCUUUUAUGUGAGCAUCAUUGUCACCAUCAUGCCUAGCUAGAAAGGCAUUAAAGAAAAGCGCUUGUUGGGAGACAAUCCAAUAUUUAUCCUUACUGUUUUUGUGUGUCCACAUGAUUAUGCUACUGUAGUAAUCAUGUUUUAUGGCUUUUGUUUCAAUAAAGUGCCAAGUAGAACCUUUGGGAAGACUUGGGUGAAGUUUAUGUGAUCUUGCUGUGAAAAACAGAAACUUUAGCGCUCAUGAGAUUAGCUGCCAUUUUUUACUGGAGAGUGAUUUUAGGUUGAUUCUUUUUGCAGAUGCUUAAUAGAGUUUCUCAGGUUCAGCAAUUUAUUUCAUAAUUUUUGGGGUUCCAAAAGUAUACGUUUUAUACAGAUUACUACAGAUUGUUCUGUUUUUGACAGAUUCUGUUUUCUAUGUGUUGUUUGCUUAUUUUGAUGCAUCUAUGAGUAGUAUCGGAGGGUAUGAACCAUAGAUAAGUCGAAGUACAGUAGAUAUUACACCAAUAUGAAUUUAGAAUGAGUUCAUUACAGUACCUAAGUGGUGGUUUUAUUUUCUUAUACUAACGGAGCUUACGAGUUUUGUGUUGAGUUUUGUGUGGUUGAAGUUUUCAAGUUUUGGGUAAGGAUUUGAUGGACUAUGGAAUAAGGAGUGGGAAGAGCCUAAGCUUGGGGAUUCCCAAGGCACCCCAAGGUAAUAUUCAAGGACAACCAAGCAACUAAGCAUGGGGAUGCCCCGGAAGGCAUCCCCUCUUUCGUCUUUGUUCAUCAAUAACUUUACUUGGAGCUAUAUUUUUAUUCACCACAUGAUAUGUGUUUUGCUUGGAGCGUCAUUUUCUUUUGUUAGUUUUUGCUUGCUGUAGUUAGAAUAAUGUUUUGCAUCUUUAGUUUCAAUAAAAAAGUCAAGGAUAGCCCUUGCCAUGCUUAUUUUGCUAGUUUGCAUGUUGCUGUUUGAAAACAGAAAGUUUACCGCUGUUGCAAAAAUUCCCUAGAAAAGUCAGAGCAUGGUAUAACGUUGAAUCUUUUUGAAUUUUGAGCUAUGAUAAAUUUAUUACAGUGGGAAUUUUAGUUCAUAAUUUUUGGAGUCAGGGAAGUAUUGAUACUCUUGCAUUCUUUACAGACUGUACUGUUUUGGCAGAUUGCUGUUAUGGUUGCAUUGUUUGCAUAUGUUUGCUUGUUUAAUGAUUUUAUUUGAUGAUAGGAGUAUUAAAUAUACAGAGGCAUUUAGUAUUCAAUGUUGAAUAAUAAUUUUAGUGAUUUGUUACAGUAGGAAAUGAUAAGGUUUUGCAUUGGUUUAUACUAACCUAUCUCACGAGUUCUUGUUGAGUUUGUUGUGAAUGAAGCUUUUGAUAAAAGAAGAGAAACCAUGGUAUGAGAGGAAUUAAGGAGACACAAAAGCUCAAGCUUGGGGAUGCCCAAGGCACCCCAAGAUGAUAUUUCAAGAAGUCUCAAGCAUCUAAGCUUGGGGAUGCCCCGGUAGGCAUCCCACCUUUCUUCUUCAACAACUAUCGGUUAGUAUCGGUUGAGCCUAAGUUUUUGCUUCUUCACAUGAGUUGUGUUAUCCUUGCAUUGUCAUUUUAUUUUGUUUUGCUUACUGCUUGGGUACAAUACCAAGAUCUGAAAUUCUUUAAUGGGAGAGAGCCUUACACAAAUUGAAAUUUUCUAGAAUACUCUAUGUGCUUCACUUAUAUCUUUUGAGCGUGAUAAUUUUUGCUCUAGUGCUUCACUUAUAUCUUUUAGAGCACGGUGGAGAUUUGUUUUAAAGAAACUAUUGAUCUCUCAUGCUUCACUUAGAUUAUUUUAAGAGUCAUUAAUAGCAUGGUAAUUUGCUUAAUGAUAAUAUACUUGGUGUUCAAGAUAUGUGAAACUUUCUUUUGAGUGAAUUGAAUACUAAGAUAAGUUUGAUGCUUGAUAAUUGUUUUGAGAUAUGGAGGUGAUAAUAUAAAACUCGUGCUAGUUGGUGAUUAUGAAUUUGAGAAAUACUUGUGUUGAAGUUUGCAAAUCCCGUAGCAUGCACGUAUGGUUAAAGUUGUCUAACAAAUUUGAAACAUGAAGUGUACCUGGCUUGUGCAUCCUUAUGAGUGGCGGUCGGGGACGAGCGAUGGUCUUUUCCUACCAAUCUAUCCCCCUAGGAGCAUGCGUGUAGUACUUGAUUUUUGAUGACUUCUACAUUUUUGCAAUAAGUAUAUGAGUUCUUUUGACUAAUGUUGAGUCCAUGGAUUAUACGCACUCUCACCUUUCCGCCUAUGCUAGCCUCUUCGGUACCAUGCAUUGCCCUUUCUCACCUUGAGAGUUGGUGCAAACUUCGCCGGUGCAUCCAAACCCCGUGAUACGAUACGCUCUAUCACACAUAAACCUCCUUAUAUCUUCCUCAAAACAACAACCAUACCUACCUAUCAUGGCAUUUCCAUAGCCAUUUCGAGAUAUAUUGCCAUGCAACUUCCAUCAUCAUCAUCAUGACAUACAUUACUUUUGUCAUAUUGCCAUUGCAUGAUCUUGUAGUUGACAUCGUAUUUGUGGCAAAUCCACCAUGCAUUAUUUUCAAUACAUGUCACUCUUGAUUCAUUGCACCAUCCCGGUACACCGCCGGAGGCAUUCAUAUAGAGUCAUAUCUUGUUCUAAGUUUCGAGUUGUAAUCCUUAUGUUGUAAUCAAUAGAAGUGUGAUGAUCAUCAUUAUUAGAGCAUUGCCCAAAUAAAAAAGAAGAAAUGCCAAAAGAAAAAAAAGAAAGGCCCAAAAAAAAGAAAAAAAAGGGCAAUGCUACUAUCUCUUUUUCCACACUUGUGCUUCAAAGUAGCACCUUGUUCUUCAUGUAGUGAGUCUCAUAUAUUGUGCUUCAAAGUAGCACAUUGUUCCUCAUGUAGUGAGUCUCAUAAGUUGUCUUUUUAUACUAGUGGAAAUUUUUCAUUAUAGAACUUGGCUUGUAUAUUCGUACGAUGGGCUUCCUCAAAUGCCCUAGGUCUUCGUGAGCAAGCGAGUUGGAUGCACACCCACUAGUUUUCUUUUGUUGAGCAUUCAUAGCUCUAGUACAUCCGUUGCAUGGCAAUCCCUACUCCUCAUGUUGACAUCAAUUUAUGGGCAUCUCCAUAGCCCAUUGAUUAUCCUCGUCAAUGUGAGACUUUCUCCUUUUUUGUCUUCUCCACACAAUCCCCAUCAUCAUUUUCUAUUCCACCCAUAGUGCUAUAUCCAUGGCUCACGCUCAUGUAUUGCAUGAAGGUUGAAAUUUUUUGAGAUUAUUUGAGUAUGAAACAAUUGCUUGGCUUGUCAUCGGGGGUAUAGAAGUUGGGAACAUCUUUAUGUGACGAAAAUGAAGCAUAGCCUAACUAUAUGAUUUUGUAGGGAUGAAUUUUCUUUUGCCAUGCUAUUUUGAGAAGGCAUGAUUGCUUUGAUUAGUAUGCUUGAAGUAUUAUUAUUUUUGUGUCAAUAUGAACUUUUGUCUUGAAUCUUUCGGAUAUGAAUAUUCAUAUCACAAUUAAGAAGAUUUACAUUGAAAUUAUGCCAAAGUAUCACUCCGCAUCAAAAAUUCCUUUUUAUAAUUUACCUACUCGAGGACGAGCAGGAAUUAAGCUUGGGGAUGCUUGAUACGUCUCCAACGUAUCUAUAAUUUUUUAUUGCUCCAUGCUACUUUAUCUAUUGUUUUAGGCAAUAUUGGGCUUUAUUAUCCACUUUUAUAUUAUUUUUGGGACUAACCUAUUAACCGGAGGCCCAGCCCAGAUUUGCUGUUUUAUGCCUAUUUCAGUGUUUCGAGGAAAAGGAAUAUCAGACGGAGUCAAAACAGAACGAAAUCAACUGGAGAAGUUAAUUUUGGAAGGAAACCAACCUGAUGGGCUUGGAGUGCACGCCAGGGGAGUCAGAUGCUGCCCACGAGAGUGGAGGGCGCCCCCUGGGCGCGCCCCCUACCUCGUGAGUAGCCCGGAGGUCCACCGACGUACCCCCUGCACCCAUAUAUACCUACGUACCCUAAAACUUCCAGAACAGAAGAUAUAUUGGGAGUUCCGCCACCGCAAGCCUCUGUAGCCACCAAAAAACCAAUCGAGACCCUGUUCUGGCACCCUGCUGGAGGGGGAUCCCAUCACCGGAGGCCAUCUUCAUCAUCCCGGCGCUAUCCAUGACGAGGAGGGAGUAGUUCACCGUCAGGGCUGAGGGUAUGUACCAGUAGCUAUGUGUUUGAUCUCUCUCUCUCGUGUUCUCUCUCAUGUUCUUCUAUGGCACGAUCUUGAUGUAUCCCGAGCUUUGCUAUUAUAGUUGGAUCUUAUGAUGUUUCUCCCCCUCUACUCUCUUGUGAUGAAUUGAGUUUCCCCUUUGAAGUUAUCUUAUCGGAUCGAGUCUUUUAUGAACACUUGAUGUAUGUCUUGCGUGGGAUAACCGUGGUGACAAUGGGUUAUUCUAUUGAUCUACUUGAUGUAUGUUUUGGUGAUCAACUUGCGGGUUUCAUGACACUUGGGAACCUAUGCAUAGGGGUUGGCACACGUUCUUGACUCUCCGGUAGUAGCUUUGGGGCACUCUUUGAAGUACUUUUAUGUUGGUUGGAUGAAUCUGUGUGAUGCAUAUCGUAUAAUCAUGCCCACGGAUACUUGAGGUGACAAUGGAGUAUCUAGGUGACAUUAGGGUUUUGGUUGAUUUGUGUCUUAAGGUGUUAUUCUAGUACGAACUCUUUUAUAGAUCGAUCCGAAAGAAUAACUUUGUGGUGGUUUCAUACCCGACCAUAAUCUCUACGUUUGUUCUCUGCUAUUAGUGUCUUUGGAGUGACUCUUUGUUGCAUGUUGAGGGCUUGUCAUAUGUUCUAUCUAUGUUAUUAUUGUUGAGAGAACUUACACUAGUGAAAGUAUGAACCCUAGGCCUUGUUUCCUAUCAUUGCAAUACCAUUUACGCUCACUUUUAUCACUCGUUACCUUGCUGUUUUUAUUAUUUCAGAUUACAAAAACCUUUAUCUACUAUCUAUUUUGCACUUGUAUCUUCAUCUCUUCGCCGAACUAGUGCACCUAUACAAUUUACCAUUGUAUUGGGUGUGUUGGGGACACAAGAGACUCUUUGUUAUUUGGUUGCAGGGUUGUUUGAGAGAGACCAUCUUCAUCCUAUGCCUCCUACGGAUUGAUAAACCUUAGGUCAUCCACUUGAGGGAAAUUUGCUACUGUCCUACAAACUUGUGCACUUGCAGGCCCAACAACGUCUACAAGAAGAAGGUUGUNNNNNNNNNNNNNNNNNNNNNNNNNNNNNNNNNNNNNNNNNNNNNNNNNNNNNNNNNNNNNNNNNNNNNNNNNNNNNNNNNNNNNNNNNNNNNNNNNNNNNNNNNNNNNNNNNNNNNNNNNNNNNNNNNNNNNACCGUCUCUCCCGCCCCGCCCCACCGCCGGUGCCGCCGCUAUUCUCCGGCCGCCUCCUCACCGCGCAGCCCCCGGCCGUCCAUACCAAACCAUGUGUAGACAUGGCCGCCACCACGCCCAUGCUUUUGCCGUAGUUUUGGCCGUCGAUCGGAGGAGGUUUGGUCGUCGCCGUCUUUGCCGGUGGCAGAGGAGACACGACCGCCGGCGACGUACCACGGCAGCCGUGGCAGCUUCCGACGGCUCUAGAGUGGCCAGUAGUCGGCCGACAACCACCCCUAUUGCGUCGAGGUGAUCAUCGCGGCCUCUUCGCCACCACGACCGCAAGGUGUUCGACAUUUUGCCCACAAAGGUAUGGACAGUGGAGACGAGUUCUUCUUCCACCACUUCCUUUGUUCAUCGGACGAUUCGUCGUCGGAUGAUGAAGAUCUUGUGGUGGCUGCACUCAUCGUUCAUGACCACAUUCAAUGGCAGCUUCCCCGGUACAGGGGGUCAGUCCCUGGCCGUGCUCCCAACCUGAACCGCAACAGGGAGAGAGGCCACGCCCUGCUCUAUGUCGAUUACUUUUCCAACAAACCGCUCUUCAAGCCGGAUAAAUUCCGUCGCCGUUUUUGAAUGGCAAGGCAUGUGUUCAAUCGUAUCCGGGAGGGAGUGGUUGCUCAUGACCCAUACUUUGAGUGCAAGACGGAUGCCCUUGGCAAGCUUGGGUUCUCCUCUUACCAGAAAUGCACCGCGGCCGUCCUCAUGCUUGCCUAUGGAAUUCCAGACGAUCUGGUGGAUGAGUACGUGCGUAUGAGCGAGAGAACAUGUCUGAUGUCAAUGUACAAGUUCUGCCAAGCUGUGAUCGAGUUGUUUGGCCUAGAGUACUUGAGGCAGCCAACUGCCGCUGAUACAGAGAGAUUGUUGGUAACCAACACAGCUAGAGGCUUUCCAGGCAUGCUUGGCAGCAUAGAUCGUAUGCACUGGGAGUGGAAGAACUGUCCAUUUGCUUGGCAGGGCCAGUACAAGGGGCAUGUCAGCGAGUGCACUGUCAUAUUAGAAGCGGUGGCAUCGCAGGAUCUCUAGAUAUGGCAUUCUUUCUUCGGCAUGGCAGGUUCUCACAAUGAUAUGAACGUGCUGCAACGUUCUCCAGUCUUUGCAAGGCUUGCAGAAGGCCGCUCCCCACCUGUCAACUUUGAGAUCAAUGGCCACCAGUACAACAAAGGAUACUAUCUAGCUGAUGGUAUAUAUCCUCAGUGGUCAACUUUUGUGAAGACAAUCUCGAAGCCCCAAUGUGAGAAGAGAAAGAGAUUUACCCAAAUGCAAGAGAGUGCUACAAAGGAUGUGGAAUGUGCUUUUGGUGUGCUUCAAUCUUGAUGGGGCAUCGUUCUAUACCCUGCACUAUCAUGGGAUGAAAGGAAGCUUUGGGAGGUGAUGACUGCUUGUGUGAUCAUGCACAACAUGAUCGUCGAGGACGAGUGUGAUGACAGUAUCUUCGACCAAGGAUUUGAUUUUCAAGGUGACAAUGUUGAGCCCCUGCACCAAGAACCGGCCACGUUUGAUCAGUUCUGCCAGUUCCAUCGUGAGCUGGGUGAUUGGCGCACUCAUAAGGCUCUUCAAAAUGACUUGGUUGAGCACGUCUGGGAGCAUAUUGGCAACCGAUAGAUGUAUUGGUUCGUUUUAUGUUCAUUCAAGACAAUUUCAAUUUGGUUGUAAAACUAUCUUUAUUAGAGACAAUUUUGAUUGGGUUGUAAAACUAUUUUAAUUUUCAAACAAUUAAUAUUUGGACAUGCAAACUUGUUUCCAUAUGAAAAUAUGGGCAUUUUAGGCUCUGGCGGACGAGAUGGGGCAAACGGAUGUGGCCGCGCGCUGGGCGCACGACCACCGCAUUGCAGGACAGGCCCGGACACGACCUCAUUGUCCUACCCAAACGGAUAGAAUCCAGACAAAACGAACGUCCGUUUGGGGUCGCGCGGUGGAGUUGGCCUAAAAACUAGGACAAGACAUCCGUGGACAACAAGUUCAUAGGACAAGACCUUGUAUGCACCUGUAUUUAUAGUUUGGGAAGGAGGGAGUAUAUGUAAAUCCACGGAGGAGACGAUGUCUCAUACACGUUUCGGUGGUGGGAGUGUGUAACAGUCGAGGUGUUUUGAAAAAAGAAAGAAAAGAUAAUCGAGAGCAAAAUAGACGUGUCUUCUCUUGUGUUGUGUUGGCAGGUGAGGUGCAUGUGGUCAAUGUGGCGGUGUACGGCCGGGCAGGAGGCGGUUCUCUCUCGGGGAGCACGCCCGCAUUGCACAGCUUGGCGCUCGGGCCCAUGGGCCAUGCCAUUGACCUCCCUCUACGCUAUCUCUCAGUGGACUGGCUCUUUUUUUCGGAAACAGUGGACUGACUCUUUGAACGAAAUCAAAUGAAAUCAAUCACCGGCAUGCACCAACCCGGCCCGAUUUUGAUCUCUUUUGUUGGUCAUAAUCUGUUUGUGGGUUGCCAACUUUAUCCCCUUCUUCUUGCCUUACAAAAAUCUCACCCCUUAGGGCAUGUUUGGUUGCCGUUGUGAACAAUUUCUGCAUUGCAUACACUUCUCAACCCAUCCUAGUUGAGCAAAAACAGGCCCUAAUAUGCCAUCUGCAAGUUGUUUGGUUGCCUGCAUCUAGUGUCCCUGUAUUAGGUAAUACGCAAGUGCACUUUGUUUGGUUGCCUGCAUUGACCCAAGCGACACAUGAAUACUGCGUUUGGUUGCAUACGGCGUACAUGUUGUGCUUACCUUGUACCCUAGUUGGUGAGCUUAUCCACAAUGAUCAUACCUAGCACACCAACGCCACAACACAACAAUAGCGAUGAACUGGGCAAAGAUGAUGAAGUUCUUCAGCUUCAGCCUAAACUGACGAUCCACCUUGACACGUCCAACCUUGCUACUGUCAACAUUGUUGCCUCCGUGCUUUCACACCCAGUCAAAGUAAGCUUGUUCUGCUGCCUGCCUAGUCUUGAACCCUCUAUGGCUGCUAUUGCUAUACGAUGCCACUUGUGCAUUGGCUUCUUCCCAUGAACUAUAAACCCAUGGAGCCUUACCGAUGAACAUGACGUACCACUUGCCCUAGCAAUGCACAAGAGCAAGAGUUGAAGCAGCAAAUCAAUGGAGCACACAAGUAGCAAGCAAACUAGCACACAAACAACAAUGGAGCAGAAGAGAAGUAAAGCAUACAUGAUCAUAUGACAUAGCAAGUUCAACCUAGCACUACCUUGGUGUUAAUCUACCAUCCCAUCCAAAAGAGGGUAUCGUCCUACCACCGCAAGUUCACCAUCAGCGUGAGGGGUUAGUAUAUACCACCUCACCAAAAUAUACAGACCAUCAAAUUGUUUUUCAGCCCUAGCUAAAUGUACGUUGUCACCGUCAUCGCCGUCAUCAUCGCCACCGCCAUCGCCGUCGGGGAUCAUGCACGCUCAUAGGCAGCACUACUCUAGUAGUAGUGCUUGCCCAGCCAGCUCCUGAGCCACAGCACCCUGUGAGUGUCUUCCAUGGCAACGAACCCAACACCCUGGGCCUUGUUGUCAAGCAGGUGGCUGAGAGCUGCCAUGAGAGCCUCGUCGCUGAAGCCACCCUGGGUCAUGACAACGUCAUACAGGUCAGGGUGGACGUCAAGGGGCUUGCACUCCCUGAUGGUUGUUGCCACCUCCUUCACCGCCUCAGUCAUGCUGCAAAAGACAUUGAUCUCCUCCUCCAUCAGGCCUCCUCUCUUCCUCUUCCUAUCAUGGACGGGGUCAAAUGGCUUGUCGAAGGGCCUCAUGAAGGGCUUGUCAGGGCCAUCAAGGACCUCGACAUCCGGGGUCCCAGGGAAGUCUGGCAUGGGAGAACCAAGAGGCUCCCUCGAGCCCAUGGCAUGCUUCCCAGUUGCCAUCCCGAAGGAGAAGAUGUGUUGAAUCUGGCUGUAGUUCUGGAUGGGUGUGUUGAGGAACUCAGCGUACCUUGGGUGGUCCUAAGAAUGAAACACAAGUGUUGUUAGUUGCGAUUAGGAGUAGGCAAUGGUGUACAGUAUGAAAAGGAAGAGGGUUGUGAGCUAUUCGCGACAUGGCCGACGUAGUGCUCUGCCUCCAGAACUAUGGAGCAAGUGUCCUCAUCCCAUGAGGCGCCGCUAAGGUCUCUCAUCUUGGUCACUUGGAUCCUUCGACCUCUCCACUUCCUUAGGUGGCGGUACACCUGGGUGGCAGACACCUCCUGCCCAUAGAACUCGAACACAUGCUUCGCAAUGGUGUUCAAGUGCACCUCCUUGAAGCCCUUGUCAGUCCUAACCCCACUAGAGAUGAGCUCACACAUCUUGUUCAGCACGAACAUGGACAUGAACGACUGCCACUUCAUGUUGUUUGACCUACCAUGCUUCUUUGCCUUUGUUGCUACUACCUUGAGUGCAGCGGCAGCACCAGCACCAGCAGGAGUUGGCUCAACGAGCACUACUGGCACAUAGAGGAAAUCAGACGUGAACACCUCUGAAUCAGGUGCCAUCUCGGACAUAGGCUGCGAGUCCUCGACAAACGAUGGCGGAAACUGGCUGUCGGACAGGACAAGGGCCUGACUAAGAUUUUGCGUCUACGUGGUCAUGUCCUACAAUUGUAUCAUGCAUUGACAGCACGCAUAGCACACAACAUAUCGGACAAUCCAUGAAAUCAGGAGCAUACUACAUGUACAUGGUUCAUCACUAUCAUAGAAAGCACAUGCUUCAUCACUAUCAUACUAAGCACAUGGUUCGUCGCUAUCAUACUAAGCAUACCGGAAAAUCUAUGAGCAAGAACAUACAUCUACAACAAACAACAUGCUACAAAUGGACCACCAAUAGCUACAAAUCACAUAUCUAAGCACAAAUCAACACAAGCACAAGGUUCAACUUCAAACUCUACUACUAAUCUAGCCUACCACAUGCUUGAAUAUCUAGCCCUACCACUAAUUGAAACCACAGCAUAACAAUCAACCAUAUCAGCUCACAGAUCAGACCACUAAUCAACCAUGCAUCUAGAUCAAACCCUAGAUGCAGCUCAGAUCCAGCUAGAAGGAACAGAGAGAAAGGGGGAUUGAACUCACAGAGGCCAUGGCUGCAGCUCGAGGACGAGAGGGGACGGUCAUGGAAGAUCAACGUCAACCAGUGAAGGAGCGCCGACGCCGUGGACCGUCGGCCGAUGAAGAUGCGCCACUUACCUGCUCGUUGGUGCCGAUGCGCGUUGGCGGGAAAGCUCGAACGGAGGGAGAAUGGUGGCGGGAGUUGGGGCGGUGAGGGAGGGGCUAAAUAGGGGUGGACUCGGCGGGAGGUGAGCUGAAAUCCUCCCGCGAUUUUUUGGCGAUCGGGCGAGCUCGCGCCAUCUCCCUUCUCGCACGAGGAGAGAAGCGUGUCACCCUUUCCUGCCUCGCCCGAGCCAGGCUCGCGAGCUACUGCCGAUUCAGGCGUUUCCCCUGGGCCUGGCCUGGAUGUGCUUUCAGUUUCGUGCGAUGCGGGCCGCACUGUAAACACAAGCAACCAAACGGGCCAAGUUCUUCCCGCACGGGCCAGGUUGGGCCAUAUGCAGGCAACCAAACACGCCCCUAGUUUUCCCGCGUCUUCCAACCUUGCCCUUCAUACCAGAACGGGGCUGCUCGCCGGUACUUCCCCUUCCUUUGUCAAUUUUGCUGCAUGUGCCUGAUAUAUUUUCUCAAUCAAAACGAAAAUCAAUCUGGCGAACUAUAAAGUUACUGCACCCGGAAAAAAAAGAAUUAUAAAGUUACUAAUUCAAGUUAAAGUUGUAAAAUAAUAAGGUGUUACAAGAUUUCUCACAGUUACAUGAUUGGACAUCUCCCGAAUCCGAGACACCAUAUGUGCCUAUAAGAGAUUGCUCACACAUUAAUUAGAGGGACAUGAUGGCGACGAUGGAGAAGGAGUUGAUGGAGUCAAUGGUGAAGUUUAGCCCUUCUCAGGUGGUAGGGUUCAGCCUUCUGCAGCGCUCUGAGAAGGGACCAGCAGAGGCCCUUGCCCUUUCCUACUCCCUCUCUCCUUCCUUCUCUCCUACUCCUAAAAGGGAACGUAUUCCUACUAUGACUUGGAAGUCCUAGUAGGACUCCAUACACUUGGCGCGCCCUUAGGGGGGCGGCCUCUCUCCCUCCCUCCUUUAUAUACGGGGGCAGGGGGCACCCCAAAGACACACAAGAUUCUUUUAACCGUGUGCGGAGCCCCCCUCCACAGUUACACACCUCGAUCAUACCAGCGUAGUGCUUAGGCGAAGCCCUACGCCGGUAGCAUCAUCAUCACCGUCGCCAGCCGUCAUGCUGAUGGAACUCACCCUCGUCCUCAACUGGAUCAAGAGCACAAGGGGCGUCAUCGAGCUGAACGUGUGCUGAACACGGAGGUGCCAUACAUUCGGUACUUGAUCGGUUGGAUCGCGAAGAAGUUCGACUACAUCAACCACGUUAUUGAAACACUUCCGCUUUCAGUCUACGAGGGUACGUGGACACACUCUCCCCUCUCGUUGCUAUGCAUCACCUAGAUAGAUCUUGCGUGAUCGUAGGAUUUUUUUUGAAAUUACCGUGUUCCCCAACAAAUAUAACAGCAUGAAUACUUCAUAAAUUAUAGAUAUGUUGGAGACGUAUCAGUUACUCUCUAACUGGUACUUUUUAUAAGAGGAUGACGACUCAACAAGAAAAGUAAAUAGAUAGGCCCUUCACAGAGGGAAGCAGGUAUUUGCAGAGGUGCUAUAUUUCCGGUUUUUGAAAUAGAGAUAAAUAAUAUUUUGAGCGGUAUGCUUUCAUUAUCAACAUAAAAACCAAGAGAUCUCGGUAUCUUCCAUGCUACAUACAUUAUAGGCGGUUCCCAAAUAGAAUGUAAAGAUUAUACUGCCCCACCACCAACAAGCACAUACCAUGGCUGGUUUGAAACAACGAGUACCGUCCAACUAACAACAAUCCUGGGGGAGUUUAGUUUUCAACAGAAUGGUAAAGUUUAUACUACCCACCACCAACAAGCACAUUCCACGCCUGGUCCAAAACAAUGGGUAUCGUCCAACUAGCAAAAAUCCUGGGGGAGUUUUGUUUGCAAUUACUUUGAUUUGAUUUGCGCAUGGGACUGGGCAUCCCGACUACGAGCCAUUUUCUCAUGAAUGAUGAGCGGAGUCCACUCAUCGUGAGAAUAACCCACCUAGCAUGGAAGAUACUGAUAGCCCCCAGUCGCUACAUGAGCAAUUCGGGCAUAUGAAACAGAUUAUCAUUUGAAGGUUUAGAGUUUGGCACACGCAAAUUUACUUGGAAUGGCAGGUAAAUACCACAUAUAGCUAGGUAUGGUGGACUCAUAGGGAACAACUUUGGGUUUAUGGAAGUGGAUGCACAAGCAAUAUUCCCGCUUAGUAUAAGUGAAGGCUGGAAAAAGACUGGGAAGCGACCAACUAGAGAGCGACAACAGUCAUGAACAUGCGUUGAGAUUAACCAACAAUGAGUGCAAGCAUGAGUAGGAUAUAAAUCACCAUGAACAUAAAUAUCAUGGAGGCUAUGUUGAUUUUGUUUCAACACUGGUACACGUCGAUGCUAUACAAACGGUUUUUAACCCCUUUCCGCGACGACAUUUGGAACCGUCGCCAAGUGAGUGUGGACGAUAGGGGGGUCCUUCCCACACGACCCAGAAACCGUCGGGGAAAGCCCUCCUGGCACACAGGCCGGGCAAAAUGAGUUCGUGUGCGAUCUGACAAGGCAUCCAAACCCAAUUGUUUUCAUUCGUAUGUACAUCCCACAUGAUGAAUUCCAGAAAAACAUUUUCGUUCGUGUGUAUAUCAGACACAGUCAAUCCAAGGAGUACGUUUCCGUUCUUAUGUACAUCCCACACAGUUAAUUCAGGGAAAAUGUUUCCGUUCGUAUGUACUUCCCACACAGUUAAUCCAGGGAAAACAUUUCCGUUCGUAUGUACAUCCCACACAGUCAAUCCAGGGAAAACGUUUCCGUUCGUAUGUACAUCCCAGACAGGUUUAUGUAUAGGCUCGUGUGUGAUAGGUGUAACUAUCACACACGCUCCGCGUUGAUUAUUCGUUUGCUUUUAUCAACUACAUCACACACGAUUUGAUGAAGAAAACUAUGUGGCAUUGGGCUAUCCAUCACAAGCGCUCUUACUUCUAGAACCGUUUGCAAAGUUCCAUGACCCAUUUAGCAGGUUUAUUAGUUUAUAAUUAAUAAUUCUAGUAUUACGCAAAUUCACAUUUCAUAUUGAGCAGUUGUUUGCCAAUUUCAUAUUAGGCACAUUGAUAUAUUUUAAAAUCGCAGUACGAUAGCUACCAGAAAACAACACAGUACAUCAUAUAGAUAGUUCAACUUCAUAAGAACAAUAUUACAAUGAUAUAUUCAUUUCCCUAAUCGAGAUCAUCCAGGCUCGCCUUAUCCACCUUUCCUUUCAGUUUAGUAAGAACCUGUUUUGCACUGGCCAGCUGGGAAAGUGCCUCGUCCUUUGCCAACACCAUCUUAGCAAAGUCUGAUUUAAAAAAUCUGAGCUCAUUCUCCACCUUCCUCUUUUUAUCCUGCAUCUUCAAAUAUUCUUCAGCAUUGACAACACUUUCUCUAAGCCUACCUCUAUUCUCUUCCUGAUACAUGCGCCAGAGCUUUGCUAGGCACAUCUUCAAAGACUGUGGCCACUCUUGAUCAACCCACUCCAAGUAAGAACACUUCCGUUCAUCCUAUAAUAUUUAAAACUAGAUCAGUAACAAUUGUAGGGAAAAUGGGUUUAUAACAACAUAGAAGAUCACCAAUACUUAUUUUGAAAAACUGAAGAAACAGGUUAAUUAUGACAUAUCUUCUCAAAAAGACCAAUGUGCAAAUGAAUUAUUUGCUACUGAGACAACAACCAAAUUCUGAAACAUCAGAAGCUAUAAUUAACUACAACAACGCUACAAGUUCUUACUCAUGUACUAUAAAUAACAAAUUGAACAUUUUAAGAGGAAGGUAAAUAUAACUGCAACAGCAUAGCGGCAGUGUUUGGAUGGGAGAAAAUUGAUACUAGUAGGUGUGUACAUGCACAAAUUUAGUAACAUAGAACUAAUAGCAAUAAGGCCAUCCACUAUGUAUGCCAAAACCGGUGUAAAGAUAACUGUUGCUACAUCUCGCACUGGUGCCCUGCACUGGCGAGCCGAUGCAGCGGAAAAAAAUCAGGGACCCGAACUCUGGAGCACCUAGUUGCUUCGACGCCCAGUUCCUUCAUGCCAUAAAGAUUUAGUAUUUUACUGCUUGGCUGCUCAGAUGUGUGGACAAGUUGGCUCCACAAACUGCUGAAGUGGUGCCAAAUAAUUUUCUAAUGGCACCGCUGAUGAGAUGGCAACAUUUUUAGAUACUAGGUACAAACUGUGACACUGUCUUAGGAUGCGUUUGGUUGAAGGUGUGGUAUGAAUGGGUUGGGACCGUGACAGUGUCUGAAUCACAUCUAAAAAAUGAUUUGUAACAACGAAAGAGGGUCUAACCUUCUCUGCACAUGCCAGAAACUUCCUCCCACUGCCACAGAUUCAAACGCAACUAGAUUCACGCAUAGAGAUUGAUGGUGACAAUGAGCACGCAGAUCUUUAGCCACCCGCUCCAUUCGUUGCAACUGAUGGUCCUAGGGAACUACAAGAGGAAUAAAUGACUCCAAUCGACCAUAAGGCCGGUAAAAAUCCUUCAUUCCAAGUCUUAGCCCGAGAGAGAGAGAAGAGAGGCAUACCCGGGUGGUGAAGGAGUCAUCAUCAGAGGAGGAACCGCUGGAGAGGUCUUUGAAGAAGACCAUGGCGACCCCGGCAGUAGGAUGCGAGACGGCGAGAGCGAGGAAGUAAGCGAGGAAGCGACUAUAGCUUAGGAAGAAGGAAGGAAGGGGGAAACAGGGGGAAUGUGACUUGUGGUCAGGGAGAAAAGGGGGUGGGGAGGGGGAGCAUAGAUAUUUCGAUGGUAAGCCAAAAAUUUCAAAACGUGGAGGGAAACUUUGUGCGCGGUGCCGCCGGACACAAUUCACUUUGAACGAUAGUGUGCAUCGCAAAUGAUUCUUCUGCUUAACGUGCAUGGGAAGUUUGAUAAUUAAAAUUUUGGUGGAAAUUUCCCCGGGUACGUCAUUGCAUAAUUUAACAUCGCUUGCUAAUUUGGGCACAUAGCAGAGCAUACAACACACAGACCAGACCUACUGAAUCAAGAAAUUUUAGUAAUUAAACAGAGCCAGUUCACCUAAACAUUGCUCUAACAAAAGACCAGCAUUAAAAAUAAAAGCCUAUGUACGAAUAAUUUUAACAAAUCUGCCACUGCGCCGGCCUAUGCAUCACCGGUGUGACAUGAGACGUCGAUAACUUGUCCUGGUGACAUGCCGCCGUUGGUGGACUCCGUGUCCCCCCUGGUAAAGUCGACCGCGUCCUCGUCCUAGUCCUCGGCGCCGCCCUCAAGGUCGUAAUACUCGUAGUAGUGGCUGCGCCAGAGCUCGCGUUGGUACUCUAUCGAUGAUUCCUCGAUGGACAGACUCUUCUCUACCUUGACCUGGGCCACGUGCAACUCCUCCUCCCGGCGCUCCUCGAUCUCCGCUGCCUCCUGCAUCUCCAGCUCCCGCUCGACGACCUCAUGAGGAAGCAGGUGCUCCAUGGCCACCGCCGCCUUUUCGGGCGUGGGUUGCAUGCUGGAUUCCGAGGUGGCCUGGAAUAUAUUGGCGUGGAUGGCCUCGACCCAGGCUAGGGCGACAUUGGCGGCACAGACGGCAGCUCGAGCGCUCUCAGCGUUUGCAGCCGCCAUCGCAGCAGCAGCUGCAGCCAUCUCGACUGCUGCAACCGCCCUGUCGGCUGCCGCAGACGCCCUAUCGGCGGAAGCAGUUGCGCUCCAUUCAGAUGUAGCGACACUCUCGGCGUAGGCGGUCGUGCUCUCGGCGUAGGCGGCAACGCUCGAGGGAGGGUGGGCGGCCAUCGUAUGGACCUUCAUGAAGCGUUUCCACGGUGUCAUGUUUGCAAGAAGGGGGUGUGGGAAUGGGGAUCGGGAUUUUUGGAUUUGGGGGUUGCCAGCACUGGAGCAGACAAGCCGGCGAAGCUAAAGGAGGAAGACUUAAAUAGACCAAGAAAUGUUCAUCGCAAACGAUUCCAACAAAACAACUGUGUGUGAUGUUGUAGAUACUUUUUAUUAGCUGUGAAAGACGAAUUUGGAGUAAGUGGCAACGAAUGGUGUUUUAGAUGUACGAGAAAAAUUGUACUACUAAUACAACUGUCAUAUCAAAUUUUGGAAAAUUUUAGGGGUCAUUUGACAUUUUAAGACAUUUAAGUGAUAUUCUAGCCAUUUAAUGACCGUAAUUGAAAUUUGAACUAUAUGUACAUGCAACAGCUAACCAUAAUGGUUUGAAAAGUCAUAUUUUGUGUACUUGUGUGAGAUUUAAUUCCAUGUGCAGUAAAUUGGAAGGAAUUUUCAAACAUAUUGGUCUAACGGCUAUAACACAAUUAAGCAUGGGGUGCCAUGACAUUUAAAUUCCAAAAAAAAUAAAACAAGAACAGAAACACAUGAAACCUUGGUUGAUGUAAUGUCAUGCCACCAAGAUUAUGUGGUACAAAAUUUGGCAUGUUUGACGAAAGUUUUGACACACACCCCUCACAAACCGGAGCAACUCACUAGAAGGCUCGUGGUUCCGAGAGGGAACAAUGCAACGUGCACUAACAAUUGUCGUGUGAAAAUUGGAAAAUUUUAGGGGCCAGUUGACCUUUUGAAGACAUUUAAGUGAUUCUCUAGCCAUUUAAUGACCGUAAUUCAAAUUUGAACUACAUGUACAUGCAACGGCUAACCAUAACAGUUUGAAAAAUCAUAUUUGUGUACUUAUGAGCGAGUUAAUUCCAUGUGCAGCAAAUUAAAAGGAAUUUUCAAACAUAUUGGUCUCACGACAUGGACACAUGCAUGGAGUGCCAUGGCAUUUUAAUUCCAAAAGAUUAAAAAAUGAUGAGAAAAACAUGAAACCUUGCUUGAUGUAAUGUCAUGCCACCAAGAUGAUGUGGUAAAAAACUUGUCCAGUUUGAUGAAAGUUUGGACAUACACCCCGCACAAACCGGAGCAACUCACUAGAAGGCUCGUGGUUCCGAGAGGGAACAAUGCAUGUUUGAUGACGAGCGGGAGAUAGCUUCAUCUUACGGCCUUCAAAUUGUUUUCAACAUUUAACGUGCAUUAAUACAACUGUCAUGUGAAAAUUUGGAAAAUUUCAGGGGUCAUUUGACCUUUUGAAGACAUUUAAGUGAUUUUCUAACCAUUUAAUGACCGUAAUUCAAAUUGGAACUACAUGUACAUGCAACGGCUAACCAUAACGGUUUGAAAAAUCAUAUUUGUGUACUUGUGUGCGAGUUAAUUCCACGUGCAGAAAUUUAGAAGUAAUUUUCAAACAUAUUGGUCUCACGGCAUGGACACUACAUGCAUGGAGUUCCAUUGCAUUUUAAUUCUAAGAAAAUAAAAAAAUGAUGAAAAAAACAUGAAACCUUGUUUGAUGUAAUGUCAUGCCACCAAGAUGAUGUGGUAAAAAAUUGUCUUGUUUGACGAAAGUUUGGAUACACACCCCUCACAAACCGGAGCAACUCACUAGAAGGCUCGUGGUUCCAAGAGGGAACAAUGUAUGUUUGAUGAUGAACAGGAGAUAGCUUUCUCUUACGACCUUCAAAAAAUUUCAAUGUGAAACGUGCACUAACAUAAUUGUCAUGUCAAAAUUUGGAAAAUUUCAAGGGUCAUUUAACCUUUUGAAUACAUUUAAGUGUUUUUCUAGCCAUUUAAUGACUAUAAUUCAAAUUUGAACUACAUCUACAUGCAACGGCUAAUCAUAACGGUUUGAAAAAUCAUAUUUAUGUACUUGUGUGCGAGUUAAUUCCAUGUGCAGUAAAUUAGAAGGAAUUUUCAAACAUAUUGGUCUCACGACAUGGACACAUGCAUGGAGUGCCAUGGCAUUUUAAUUCCAAAAAAUUUAAAAAUGAUCAGAAAAAACAUGAAACCUUGUUUGUUGUAAUGUCAUGCCACCAAGUUGAUAUGGUAAACAAAUUGGCUUGUUUGACGAAAGUUUGGACACACACCCCUCACAAACCGGAGCAACUCAUUAGAAGGCUCGUGGUUCUAAGAGGGAACAAUGCAUGUUAGAUGACGAACAAGAGAUAGCUUCCUCUUAUGGCUUUCAAAAAAUUUCUACGUGUAACGUCCACUAAUACAACUGUCAUGUGAAAAUUUGGAAAAUUUCAGGGGUCAUUUGACCUUUUAAAGACAUUUAAGUGAUUUUCUAGCCAUUUAAUGACCUUAAUUCAAAUUUUAACUACAUCUACAUGCAACGGCUAACCAUAACGGUUUGAAAAAUCAUAUUUAUAUACUUGUGUGCGAGUUAAAAAAUCAUCAGGCGAUGUAAAUAUCUGGUGUUCAAAAAAGAAAAUGUAAAAUCUGGCAAGACAACCGGCCCCACAGGAUUGGCACUCUAGUUCGCGCCUUGAGGUUUGGAAGGUGAGUGGCGGGCUUUAUUAAUCAGACACGGUUCUGCAUUAGGAACCGUCGGCUAUUAUGUUCACACAUGGAUUUUGCUGCAUGAAUCGUGCGUAAUUCACACUAUAGUACUCGUAAAUUCUGGUUACCGGCGUGUGUACUGUUCUCAUUGAUCUAGAUUCUGGCCGCCAAUAAAUACUACCUUGCUCACGUCGUCCCGCCUACAUUCUCAUCUAGAUCGUUCCCUUGCUCGCCCUCUCCCUCUCUCUCAAAUCUCUGCCAUGGUGCCGCCGGUCUGCCCAUGCACCGACGAGGAGUCGCCGCCCCCGAGGACGCUCACUCAAAGAGCAGCAACGAGAACAACUACGCGCCGCCGGACUAGGUUGCGACGGACCCCCCAACUUUGGAUUGGUUUUGGGGCCAGUACGAUCUUUGUCUUUGGAAGUCGCUGCCGCCGGCUGAGAAAGCCAGACAAGUGGCUUUCAAGAAGAAGAUGGCGGAGGAGGAGGCCAGGUACCAGGAAUCCUGUGAAGCCCGUGAUGCCGCCUAAAAAUAGGAGGCGGUGGAGUUUGGGGGGCGGGCACGUCGUCGUGCGAAGGAGGUGUACAAAUACGGUACUUCGCGAGGAAGGCCAGAGGCGCUAGGCGCCUCGUCGCUGGUGGAGCUGGGGCGACAAGCUCCAGGAUGCCACCGUCGAGGAGCUCCGGUGGGCGCCCAACAAAAUGUCAAGAUCAAUCGCGCGGGUCCGCCUGCAAGAGGCAGAUCGACACGUCAAGCGCUGCGAGGCGGAAGAGGCUGAGUACCGCCUCCACUCUGGGAAGACGCCGCGCACCAGGGAGCUCCUGGCGAGGGGCUGCCGGAAUACUGGCCCCAGGAGGGAUUAUUAGUUUUAGUACUGUUUGUAUUCAAUUUUAUGCAUUGUACCUAGUAGUUAAGUAUCAUCACGUAUAUGUGAUGAUAUUAUAUAUAUUCCGUGAUGAACUAAUGAACAAUUAAUAUUAUAUGUAUUAUGAAUUACAUUUUCUAUCUGAUUUUGUAUACUAAUUUGAAUCUAUUUGUUAUCAUCCACAUAUACAGAAUGGAAAGCGUAUAAACACACAUUGAAACAGAACAUAUAAGAACGGAAAAUAGAGUACACAUAUUGAAACAGAGCAAUAAACAUAGCAAUACUAUGAUUGCUGUGAAUACAUAGCUAUCCACGUUAAAAUGACUCAACAAAAUAAAAUGCGUCCAUGACACCAUGACCAGCCGCCCUUGCCUAUGGUAGCUCUUGGCUCUGCCUGAACUCGUGCAGGCGUUCGUCCAAGCGGUCGACACGCUCACGGUACAUUUGGAGCGCGACCUUGACCUCCAAGUUGGCUAUUUCAUCGGAGAUCGCCACCUCGAGGAUGCGACGGCCAUGUUCCUCUACUGCGCCCAGGUUUGGCCUGGGGUAAGGCUCUCCACCUGGCCGAGAUGACCAGCGGAGUUGGCGUGCAAUACGAUGACGCCGACAGCCAAAAGUUGGUCGAGGACGAAGAUAUCCCCGCAGCUGACUCUGUCGUCGAUCCGAAGUUUGGUCGAGACGAAGAUAUCCCCGCAGCUGACGCUGUCGUCGAUCCGAAGUUCUGCCAUCGGGCUCUCGUGAUAACCUGGCGGGACCUGUAUGGACCAUAAAUGUCGGUGCUAAAACUGACAGAUCUCGGGUAGGGGUCCCAAGCUUAUUGAUCAAAGGUAGAUGGUAACAAGGAGAGUAGGGACACAAUGUUUUACCCACAUCUUGAUGAGGUAAAACCCUACGUCCUGCUUCUUAUAUAUUGAUUGUGACGGGGGUACAAAGUACAGAUUGAUCUACCUCGAGAUCAUAUGAGUUUGUCUAAACAUGCCUAGGGUUUACACAUGCUCGAUUACAAUGUAGGGAUAAACAUGCCUACUAAUCAAAAUACGCUUGAAGCGUACGCCAAGCCUCCGGGAGAUUUUCGUCUUGAUCACGCUAAGGCCAAGGUCGGCAAGGCCCAAUCAUCAGUUUUGGUGGGUCCUCAGCCCGACCCAUAGCCUGUGGACCGACGUGGCAAACACCCCCUAAUCCAUGACACCAACAACUACCACAACAAGGUUUGUCCGGCUCCGAUGAAGGAGGACGAUGACGGUGGCGCGCCUUCGGCUCGCUCCAAUGAUUGUAGUCGUCGCUAGGUGGUUUACGAAAAUGGAUGUAUUUUUUAUUUCUAGUGGCUUGUGUACUACUCCCUCCGUCCAUAAUGUAAGACAUUUUUUAACACUACACUAGUGUCAAAAAAACGUCUUACAUUAUGGGACCGAGGGAGUACCUAAUAAAUCGGAAGUUUUCUCAAGGAAAAAAGUAGCGCGGUUCUAAUUCGGCGCGUGCUGCCUUUGGCGUACUGCUGCAGUGGGACUCUGGCAGCAUGUAGCCCACGGAGUUAUUAGCAUGCCGCAUUUUUGCUCUUUCAAGCAGAGAUCAGCGGAUCAAUGAGCAACACGUCAGUACUUGACCACACAUGGUUUGGUAGCUGGGCCUGCUGGACCCGUGCUACGGCACCGCUACUGGCACGUGGGCCCUCUCCGCCCAUGGCGACCUCGGAUCUUCUCAUUCUCGGAUUCUCCGUCUCCUUGAAAUUUUGAAUUCGCUAUUUACUGUCGGAGAGAAUACGGACGUGAGAUCCAUGCACACGAAAGACCCGGUCGUGUGCAGUAGCACACAUGCUGGACAUACAUGCAUCGACAAAGACAACCUUGCGAGGAUGCUAGGGAAGGAAAAUCACAAGCUUUCUCCAAUCUUAGUCACCUUUGGAGAUUUCUGGACCAUCGUCCAAUCAUUAUCAUCACUUUUAGUCCUCUGGCAUGACAUAGCAUCUACUCCCUUCGUUCCUAAAUACUUGUCUUUCUAGGCUUUCAAAUGGACUCAACAUACGGAUGUAUGUAGACAUAUUUUAAAGUGUAGAUUCACUCAUUUUACGCCGAAUGUAGUCACUUGUUGAAAUCUCUAGAAAGACAAGUAUUUAGGAACGGAGGGAGUAUGGAUUAAUCCCUCAAAAAAUACUCCAACAACGCUCUGCAAAAAAUUACAUAUCCAGACUGAUUUACUAACACAGCUGCAUAAUAAAUACUUCCUCCGUUCCUAAAUUUUGUCUUUCUAGAAAUGUCAACAAAUAAUUAUAUACAGAGUAAAAUGAGUGAAUCUACACUUUAAAAUAUGUCUAUAUACAUUCGUAUAUGAUAGUCCAUUUGAAGACAACUAUUUAGGAACGGAUGGAGUAUAUGCACAAUGCAGUACAGGAGCAACACAGUGUACAUCAUAAACAUGUUGCACCACAGAUUUCUUUUUGAAUUAUCACACCCAAACCAUGACUUAUUUUCCGGAUUUUUAACAGAGGGGAAAACGGCUCACGUGCAUAGCUAUCACCCGUUCCCACAACGUAAAACCCAAGCAAAGCUCAGUACUACUACUUCGUUCUCUCCAGCUCCUGUCCCCUCAAUGGCAGCCUUUCUCUCAAGCUCAAAUCCAGCCCCGACACGCUCACACACAAGACAACACCUCUUCACUCCGAAUUACAAAAACGCCCCUAAGCUUAACGGUAGGCCUCAGAGAAGAAGACAACAUUUCGGUCUUUUUCCCUCCGGCUGCUACGAUUUAUUCCUCUCUCGAAAUAAAAUGCCAAGCAAAAGUUUCGGAUAAAUAUUUCCGCACGCCUCUCAAAAUAUGCAGACUCCCGAGAAAUAAAGUAAAAUUAUGUUUAAAACUGUUCUCUUUCAAAAAGUUGCGGUGGAGCUGCCGUCGCCGCUCCCGUCCGGUCAGGCCGCCAGGGGCUCCGGCGCGAAGAGGUCGUCGAGGUCGGCCAGCUCCACGAAGUCCGCCGAGGGGUCCCACCUGCUGCUGCACGUCGCGGGGAGGCAGAACUGCAUCAAGUUGUUCAGGGAGGUCUCCUCGUCGACGAAUCCCAGGCCGAACGCUGCCGUCACCUCCUCGUCCGCGUUCACCAAGGACCAGCUGGUGGUCGCCGACUGGGAGGCCGCCGUGGUGGAGGGCGACGGGGGGGAGGCCGCCGUGGUGAUGGGCGACGGGGCAGAGGUCGCCGUGGUGGAGGGCGACGGGGGAGAGGCCGCCCUGCCGAAGGGCGACGGAGGAGGGGCCGCCAUGGUGGAGGGCGACGGGGGAGAGGCCGCCCUGCCGAAGGGCGACGGAGGAGGGGCCGCCGUGGUGGAGGGCGACGGGGGAGAGGCCGCGGAUGUCGACGGCGACGGGGCGGACGCCGUCACGGUGGAGAUGGGCGGCGAGGGGGAGGGCGCGGUGUACUUAGUGACUGCGCUCGGGCCGCGGAGGCGGAGCACGGCGGAGUCAUAGACGGACUUGGCCUCCUCGGCGGUGUUGAAGGUGCCAAGCCAGACGCGCCGCCCCAGCUUCGGGUCGCGGAUCUCCGCCGCAUACUUGCCCCACGGCCGCCGACGCACGCCCCGCAAUCGCCGGGCCGCCCUAGCCCCCGCGGACCAAUCAUCCCCGCCGCACGCCGCCAACGUACGCGUCUUGCCGGCCGCGGCCGCCCUCAACCUCUUCUCGCGCGUCCAGUGGGAGGAGCUGCUCACCGCACCCGCCGCAGCGGACGGAAGAUGAGAGAACGCGCGCGGCAGGCCGAUCUGCCGCACGCACCGUCGCGCGCAGUGUCGCUGAGGCUGGCUCGUCUCCUCGUCGGAGUCGUCGGUGGCAUCGGCGUCGAGGAAGUGCACGCGAACGACGCGGCCGGCGGCGGCGCCGCCGUGGCCUCCAGGGAGCCGCCAGCAACCGUCCAUCACCGAGGAGAGUCGACCGCGGCAAGCCCCGAUUUCAUCAGCUGGCAACGGACGAACGGAUUUGGUGGAGCUCCCCUGUUGGUUGGGUGUGGUUUUGGGAGGGUUUUAGAGAGAGAAAGGAUUGGAUGGGGUUCGGCGCUUCUCUCUCUAUCUCCACCUGUAAACAGAGAAGGGUGGAAUGGGUGAAGUGUAAAAGAGUGUGCAAGAGGGAGGCGUGAAGCGCGCGGUGGCAGGGGUAUUUAUGCAAACUUGCCAUCUCUUUGAGCGCCACUGCCCACGGACCUGCGGGGCCCGUGACCAUGUGGGCCCUGUGUGUCAGUUACGACAACGAUGGUGCCCCCGGUGCAAAGUUGCUUCCGGCUUGGCGGGCGAGCCGCGCAGCUGCUGCUCUGCUCUCCAGCUGGCCACGGGCCCGCGCGUCAGCGGAGCGUGUUGGUCACUUCACGUGAGCGGUAAAUAUCUACAACCACUUCGCGGUACCCCUACGUACCCCACCACGCUGACGUGCGGGUCCAGGGGAUAAAGUUUCGUUGCCGUCAGGUCGGAGGCAGCGGGGGCGGGAGAUGGGUAGGUAACCGGGCGGUGAUAAAUAGAUUCUGACAUGCCGGAGAGCAAGUGGGGUGGCGUGGACCUGCGGCGCCCGUCGGAUGCGUCGUCGCGAUGCGGGCCCGUCCGUACGGCAGGCCGACGGAGGAGCACCAGGGGCACUGGGCGUAUUUUACCGCGUGUGCCCAGGGGCAAGCUGGUCAUGUUUUCAAGAGUGGUGCGGUCGCCUCGGCCUCUCUCCCGAACUCCACAGUCGACACGCGAGCGCCUGGGAUGAGAGAUACUCCUAGAUGUGUGGGCCCGACGCAUCGGAACGGCGAGGGUAACAAGCGCGCGGCGUGUCGUGUGUGCACGCAUGGGCACGUGGAGUAUUUCUCUCUUUUCUUGCUUGGCUCACCUAACAGCUCGACGGGGACAACACGGGGGCAAAAUUUCGUGUUUUGACCCUUUUUAUACAAAUUCAGCAUCUGACUCGGGUUCGAAAAAAAUUCGGGAUUUGACCUUUUUCUUACUGCCAUGGUCUCUGGCGGUAGGGUACUAAUUCACGCCAGCACGCGGAAACGGCUGUCGUCCCCCUCCGUCGCACCCUACCGUCAGGGCGCCUGGCGGUAGCCUGUCUAACCCUACCGCAAGGGCCCCUGGCGGUAGGGUCCGGGCAGUUAUUUCGUCCUAGACCCUGCGCCCCUGCCCAUCUCUCCACCCCUCCCCCUCCUCAGUCGGCAGUUUCUCAUUCUUUCUCCCCCAAGUCGCCCCUCUCUCCCUCUCGCAUCUCCUCCACUCUCCCCCUCAGAUCUUCACCGAUUUUUCACCGUUUUGGUGGAUCGAGAUGGCCUCGAAGAGAGAAACGUAAGCUCCUCCGAUCCCUCCAAUUAGUUUUUGCAAACUUGCUUCCAAUUCAACGCAUUAUUUGCUUGAAAUCCCUCAUAUUUUUGAACUUAGAUUGGAUUUUUUUACCUAAGAUUGUUUUAGCUUGAUUGUAGUUCUAGUUCUUAGUUCUUUAGUAAAUAGUGGUAUUGAAUAUGAACUCUAAUCAAUAGUUCAUAUGUUAGUGUGAAGAUGAACCCUAGUUCAUAAUUUUUUAACAUAAAAAAUUAUGAUGUAAUGCAUGUGGGAGGACUUGAUUGUAGUUUUAUAAUGCAUGUUGAUAUGAUGAUAUGAAGAUGUUGGAGGACUUUUUUUGUUUACAAAUAUGAUGAUAUGAUGCAUCUUGGAGGACUUUUUUGUUUAAAAAUACGAUUAUAUGAUGCAUGUUGGAGGUUUUUUGAUGAUAUGAUGCAUGUUGAUAUGAUUUGAUCCACCAUGUGUAGUAGAUGUUGGUGGAGGAUUUUUUUUGAUAUGAUUCAUGGUGAUAUGAUUUUGAUAUGAUGCAUGUUUAUGUAUGCUUAUGCUUAUGAUGUUUUUGUUUAUGAAAUUUUAUUAAGCCGGCCACCUCUUGUGGACAACAUCGGCCCACGGUACUCCAUGCUGGACUGGGCAUUCGAGAAGGGUCAUCGUGCCCGUUUCAUAGAGAACGGAGAGGUAAGUGAUAUGAAUGAAAUAUUGAUCAAAGUUUUCGGAUUGAUGAAAAUAAUUUCCUAACUUUUGGCGUUCACUUUUUGAUAGAUGCUCCAGCCACUGCGCAUGAGGGGUCACGGGGUUGAAGGGCAUAUGGACUACGAUGAGUGCUACGCGCCGUUCUUUAAGAGAGCCCGACUGUUGGGUUUCAUGUUGCAGUUCAAGCGUCAGCCGCCGACGCUUGUCCACGCAGCUCUGACAGCUUUGAUUGAUCGGUGGCGACCGGAGACCCAUUCUUUCCAUCUCCCAUGCGGAGAGAUGACGGUGACUCUCGAGGAUUGGUCGAUGAUUACUGCCAUACCGAUCGAGGGCCAUGCACUGACCGGGCGAGUGGAGAGGACCAACUGGCAGGAGUACCACCCUCAUCGGCGGCUGCCCCGAGGCUAAGGGUAACCGUACAUUCGGUGUGUCGUUGCCCUGGCUCUCGGAGCACCGGAAGACAUGCCCCCAAGACGCUGAUGAGACGACUCUGGAGUGGUACGCGAGGGCCUGCCUGUGGUAUCUUCUCACGGAGGUCAUGUUUCCAGACGCAUCCGAGGACUCUGCCAACUGGUCGUAUCUGUUCUUCCUAGCCGACUGGGAUGCAGGGUACAGUUGGGGGACCGCAUCUCUCGCCUACCGCCAGGGACCCAGGCGGUAGGCUGUUUAAUCCUACCGCCAGAUUCCCUGGCGGUAGCAAAAGGGUCAAAUCCCGAUUUUUUCCCUAGCCGGGGUCAGAUCCUGAAUUUGUAUUGCAAAAGGGUCAAAACACGAAAUUUAGCCCAAUACGGGCACAACCCGCCCGACGUUUUUUCCCGACUCAUGAGUGCAGUUUGGCUCGCCGUAAUCCAUUCGUUUCACAAGGCAAGGCAGUGCAUAUUUUUUUCAUGUGAAAGUCAAAUAUAUCUAUGUUUAACCAAUUUGAAGAAAACAUACUAUCAACAUACACAAUACCAAACCAGUAUAAUUAGAUUCAUCAUGAAGUGUCAUUAUUAAUUAUUUUAUACGUUGAAGUUUAUGUUGUAAACUUGAUCAAAUAUAGACAUGAUUAAAUUUAAAAAAAAGAAAAAUACACUACAUUAUAUAACAGAGGACGUCCUAUAUAACUCAUGUGUUUCAGGGAACACCCGAUCAUCACUUCAACAAUUGUAGUUAGAUUGCGUAUACAAAAUAAUGCCCGAAGACUUAGAGCUAUCUACAUCCCCCUUACCCUUUUCUCUACAUAUAACUUAUAAAGUGGGGGGUCGGUGUUCUGGGAACGGAGGUAUCUAGACUUGCCUGCCUGCGGCCCACGGCCUGGCUCCAUCAACGACCUGGUACGGCCUAGCUUCGACAUCGACAACUCAAGAGCCUCGCGAGGCACGGACGGCAUCAAGACCUCCAAAAUGAGCAGCCUCCUCAGGCUGGCUCCCGAGGAGCGGAGAUUUCCAUACAAGCCUCACCUCGCGAGGUUCGGGUAACGUGAGCCAUGACGACCAAGGCCAGGCGGGCGCCAGUGGGCACAGUGUACCAGUUUUCUCUUUGGUGCUAAGGAGACAAGCGCAGGUGCGGAGUUUCGAGGAAUCAGCCAAAGGUUCCCAUUCCCAUGCAACAAGACCAAGACCGCCAGGACGGAGGUCAUCACCGAGCCCACCGCGGCGUCACGACCAGAGGCUUUUGCAUGCGAAGACUAUUUUUGUCAGGAUAAGAUGUACUAGUUGUCUCCCUUCGAAUUUGGCUGUUAUGGGAUCCAUUCCCGCCUUCAUUUGGGAAGAGGACCAAGGCCACUAUAAAUAGGAUCUAGUCAUCACCAUAGAGGGGAUCAGAUCCAUUCCACCCUGACCAGCUCACCAACUCACUUGAGCUCAAGAACACACCUUCUGAGGUAGUUCUCCAUUGUACUAGUUCAUCCUCAACCCCUCGAGGCCAAUCCACCACAAAGCAGGAGUAGGGUUUUACACCGCAAGGUGGCCCGAACCUGGGUAAACUGUUGUGUCCCCUUUCCCUUGAGUUCGACGAGCUAGGCUGUGAGAUUGACGAGUAGGCAGACUUGGGAGGUUGAGUUCUUCACACACACCCCAGAGUUCAAACCUCUCAAAGGUUUGCGGAACCGGAAAUCCGACAUUUGGCGCGCCACGUAGGGGUGCGUCGAAAAUCCGCCACUCUAUCCGCUGCACUCCGCUGUCGGCUCUCAUGGCGGACGCUCCUCCAUCGACCGUGUCAAAGUGCGCCUUCGAAGGAGCCGAGGGCCUCCGAGCUUUUGCCCACACCUUGCGGCAGGUGCAGUGGCCACCCAAGUUCAGGCUGGAGUUGCUGCCCCGCUACGACAGCGUGGCAGAUCCGACAGGUUUCCUCCAAGCAUACGAGGAGGCAGUUUCGGCGGCCGGCGGCGACGACAAGGUCAUGGCCAACUAGCUCCCCAUGGCCCUCGCGGGCGCGCCGCGCGCCUGGCUGCUCAACUUGCCAAGGUCUUCAGUGGCUUCCUGGGAGGAGCUGCGCGACCUCUUUGUCGCGCGCCUCGCGGCGCCGGCAGCCCACGCUGUCGCAGCCCUCCUCGAUGGUUCACAGGCGCCACCCUUAGACCGCUACGUCAAGCAGUUCUUCCUCCAAGUGGGUGCCGCCCGCUGUCAAAACCGGCGGAUCUCGGGUAGGGGGUCCCGAACUGUGCAUCUAAGGCUAAUGGUAACAGGAGGCAAGGGACACGAUGUUUACCCAGGUUCAGGCCCUCUCGAUGGAGGUAAUACCCUACUUCCUGCUUGAUUGAUCUUGAUGAUAUGAGUAUUACAAGAGUUGAUCUACCACGAGAUCAUAGAGGCUAAACCCUAAAAGCUAGCCUAUGAUUAUGAUUGUUGUUGGUCCUAUGGACUAAACCCUCCGGUUUAUAUAGACACCGGAGGGGGCUAGGGUUACACAGAGUCGGUUACAGAGGAGGAGAUCUACAUAUCCGAACUGCCAAGCUUGCCUUCCACGCAAAGGAGAGUCCCACCCGGACAAGGGACAAAGUCUUCAAUCUUGUAUCUUCAUAGUCCAACAGUCCGGCCAAAGUAUAUAGUCCGGCUGUCCGAGGACCCCUUAAUCCAGGACUCCCUCAGUAGCCCCUGAACCAGGCUUCAAUGACGAUGAGUCCAACGCGCAGAUUGUCUUCGGCAUUGCAAGGCGGGUUCCUUCUCCGAAUACUCCAUAGAAGAUUUCGAACACAAGGAUCGUGUCCAGCUCUGCCAAACAAAUACCACUGUAGAGAGCACAAUAUUCCACAAAUCUAAUCUGCCGACAACUUUUCAUAGCGUGACAUCACGCUAUGGCCCGGUCAUUAUUCGAAUCAUUUUUCUCAACCAGCUACUGCACAUAUUGCGAGGCGGUUUCCUUGGCACGUCUUGUCGAAGCAGAGAUCGUGUCCCCUUAUCACGGGAUUCUCAUCAAUACGGGUGUGGGUAACCCAACCGUGCCAUCAAUCGUGGCGCUUGGGGAAUAAGCGAGUUUACCGGGCAAGUGGGGAGGCGCAGGAUCUCUGCUGCCUUUAUAAGGGGAUAAGAACUCCCUUUUUCACCCAUGCCUUCUUCUUCCUCCGCUCAUCCAUUCCUUCUCGCUCGAGCCCUAGCGCCCAAGCAUUCGUCUUCUCUGCCCGAAAAGGUUUCCCGAAAAUGUCCGGAUCUGGAGCAGGAGGCAAGUGGAUGGACUCUACCGUCUGAAAGAAGGAUAUCAAAAAGCUUCGGGGGGGGGGGGCAGGUAUUUGGCCGAGAGAAUCGGUCACCAUCUUUCGACGGUGGGACAGAUCGUCCCCACUCCGGAACCCCACGAGAGGGUGGUAUUCCUCCAUCACUUUGUCCGCGGGCUAGGGUUUCCCCUUCACCCAUUCGUUCGCGGCAUCAUGUAUUAUUACGAGAAUGAUUUUUAUGAUCUAUCCCCCAAUUCCUUCCUCAACAUCUCGACAUUCAUCGUCGUGUGCGAGGCCUUUCUCCGCAUCCCGCCACACUUUGGCUUAUGGCUGAAGGUUUUUAAUGUGAAGCACAAGGUAGUGAGUGGCGAGCACGCCGAGUGCGGAGGCGCCAUGGUGAGCAAGAUGCCCAACGUUACAUGGCCAACAGGUACUUUCAAUGAUUCCGUCAAGGAGUGGCAGCAGCAGUGGUUUUACAUUACUAAGUCGCCCGGCAAGGAAUGGGCCGCUGCUCCGGAAUUCAGAUCCGGAGCCCCCCUGCGACUUAUGUCCUGGCCCAAGAAGGGCCUGAACUGGGCUUCUUCUGACAAAAUAUCGGUACUCCAGAUGCACGUCCAGGAUAUGGAAGACAAGAACAUCAAGCUCGUCAAUGUAGUCCAGGUGAUGUUAGUUCGCCGGAUUCUACCUUGUCAACACCGGGCUUGCAAUUUAUGGGAGUUCGACCCAGCCAAGCACCACACCCUGCUAGAGCUCUUUGGCUCCUCGCAAAGGACAUCUGGAAGGUGCUUUUCAAGUCCGGCAAAUCAUGGCCGGACUCCGCCGAGGACCGCGGGUACCAACUAUCCGGCCCUGCAAGUUCGGUAAGUCACUGUAUGUUAACAAUUCAUAUAUUUCAUUUGCAUAUCCUUAGAAAAAUGCUUAAUGUGUUUCCCACAACUUUCCUAGGGCUGGGCGAAGAAGGCGGGGCGGAUCUACUAUCUGGCCCCGCUUCCAGAAGAACCGGCCGGCCCACUUCUGACGAAGGUGCUGGUCUCGGCGCCUUACAAGGCGCCGAAGAAGAAGGCCGAGAAGGAGGCCAAGAAGACCAGGGGCGGCCUUCGUCGCCGUGGUGCUUUGGACACAAAAUCCAAAGACUCCAAUGCCCAUUCUUCCUCCGAAGAGGAGGAGGAGGAGGAUGAAGACGAAUCCCCCGUGGGGGGAAGAAAGAAAAGGACGGCCUCCAUGUCCUUGGAGGCCGAGUCGCCUAAAAGGGGAAAACUCCCCUUCUAGAGGAGUCCACUGUCACCGCCGGUAGUAGCCCGGAGUGGGAUCCCAGGGCCCAGCCCUUGGUGAACUCAUGAGUAUAAAAUCCGAACAUGCUUAUACGUCCAGACUUGUCAUGGCAUAACAUUUUAAUCUGAGCCAUACUUUUUACAGUCCGGCGAGGUCCCACGCCGAACAAUCCUCGUCGGAGGAUUUGCUGGGUUCGGAUGCUAUGGAGAGCGGGACACCCUCGAAGGCCCCCUCCCCCAAACAUGUGAAUUACACCGAGGUUUCAUCCUAGAAGGACCCGGGCCACGGAGGGGGGGGGGGAAGAUCGCAAGGGCGGCGCCAGGAGGUCAGAUUUCAGGGGGUUGCUACCUCUUGAGAACUGCGUUGGAUUUCCCCGAAGAGGAGAGGAUGAUGCAGCAAAGUAGCGUAAGUAUUUCCCUCAAUUUUUGAGAACCAAGGUAUCAAUCCAGUAGGAGACCACGCACAAGUCCCUUGUACCUACACAAAACGAUAGCUACUCGCAACCAACACGAUUAGGGGUUGUCAAUCCCUUCACGGUCACUUACGAGAGUGAGAUCUGAUAGAGAUGAUAAAUAAUAUUUUUGGUAUUUUUGGUAUAGAGAUGCAAAGUAAAAAGUAAAAGGCAAAGUAAAAGCAAAGCAAGUAAUAAAGUAAUGGAGAUUGAUAUGAUGAGAAUAGACCCGGGGGCCAUAGGUUUCACUAGUGGCUUCUCUCAAGAGCAUAGAUAUUCUAUGGUGGGUGAACAAAUUACUGUUGAGCAAUUGACAAAAUUGAGCAUAGUUAUGAGCAUAUCUAGGUAAUGAUCAUGUAUACAGGCAUCACGUCCGAGACAAGUAUAUCGAAACGAUUCUGCAUCUACUACUAUUACUCCACUCAUCGACCGCUAUCCAGCAUGCAUCUAGAGCAUUAAGUUAAAAACAGAGUAACGCCUUAAGCAAGAUGACAUGAUGUAGAGGGAUAAAUUCAUGCAAUAUGAUAAAAAAACCAUCUUGUUAUCCUCGAUGGCAACAAUACAAUACGUGCCUGGCUGCCCCUUCUGUCACUGGGAAAGGACACCGCCAGAUUGAACCCAAAGCUAAGAACUUCUCCCAUUUCAAGAACUACCAAUCUAGUUGGCCAAACCAAAUGGAUAAUUCGAAGAGACUUGCAAAGAUAACUCAAUCAUAUAUAAAAGAAUUCAGAGAAGAUUCAAAUAUUGUUCAUAGAUAAGCUGGAUCAUAAACCCACAAUUCAUCGGUCUUAACAAACACACCGCAAAAAGAAGAUUACAUCGAAUAGAUCUCCACGAGAGAGGGGGAGAACAUUGUAUUGAGAUCCAAAAAGAGAGAAGAAGCCAUCUAGCUACUAGCUAUGGACACGAAGGUCUGAAGUAAACUACUCACACUUCAUCGGAGGGGCUAUGGUGUUGAUGUAGAAGCCCUCCAUGGUGGAUGCCCCCUCCGACGGAGCUCCGGAACAGGCCCCAAGAUGGGAACUCGUGGAUACAGAAGGUUGCGGCGGUGGAAUUAGGUUUUUGGCUCCUGUUCUGAUCGUUUGGGGAUACAUAGGUAUAUAUAGGAGGAAGGAGUACGUCAGUGGAGCAACAGGGGGGCCACGAGGCAGGGGAGCGCGCCCUAGGGGGGGCACCCCCCCACCCUCGUGAUCGCCUCUGUUACAUCUUGGAGUAGGGUCCAAGUCUCCUGGAUCACGUUCGGUGAGAAAAUCACGUUCCCGAAGGUUUCAUUCCCUUUGGACUCCGUUUGAUAUUCUGUUUCUUCGAAACACUGAAAUAGGCAAAAAAACAGCAAUUCUGGGCUGGGCCUCCGGUUAAUAGGUUAGUCCCAAAAAUAAUAUAAAAGUGGAAAAUAAAGCCCAAUAUAGUCCAAAACAGUAGAUAAAGUAGCAUGGAGCAACCAAAAAUUAUAGAUACGUUGGAGACGUAUCAGGCAUCCCCAAGUUUAAUUCAUGCUCGUCCUCGAGUAGGUAAAUGAUAAAAAAGAAUUUUUGAUGCAGAGUGAUACUUUGACAUAAUUUCAAUGUAAAUCUUCUUAAUUGUGAUAUGAAUAUUCAGAUCCGAAAGAUUCAAGACAAAAGUUCAUAUUGACAUAAAAAUAAUAAUACUUCAAGCAUACUAAUCAAAGCAAUCAUGUCUUCUCAAAAUAACAUGGCAAAAGAAAGUUCAUCCCUACAAAAUCAUAUAGUUAGGCUAUGCUUCAUUUUCGUCACACAAAGAUGUUCCCAACUUCUAUACCCCCGAUGACAAGCCAAACAAUUGUUUCAUACUUAAAUAAUCUCAAAAAAUUUCAACUUUCACGCAAUAGAUGAGCACGAGCCAUGGAUAUAGCACUAUGGGUGGAAUAGAAUAUGAUGAUGGGGAUUGUGUGGAGAAGACAAAAAAGGAGAAAGUCUCACAUUGAUGAGGAUAAUCAACGGGCUAUGGAGAUGCCCAUUAAUUAAUGUCAACAUGAGGAGUAGGGAUUGCCAUGCAACGGAUGCACUAGAGCUAUGAAUGCUCAACAAAAAGAAAACUAGUGGGUGUGCAUCCAACUCGCUUGCUCAUGAAGACCUAGGGCAUUUGAGGAAGCCCAUCGUAGGAAUAUACAAGCCAAGUUCUAUAAUGAAAAAUUCCCACUGUAUAAAAAAAGAACUUAUGAGACUCAGUACAUGAAGAACAAGGUGCUACUUUGAAGCACAAUAUAUGAGACUCACUACAUGAGGAACAAGGUGCUACUUUGAAGCACAAGUGUGGAAAAAGAGAUAGUAGCAUUGCCUUUUUUUCUUUUCUUUUCUUUUCUUCUUUUUUCUUUUUUUGGGGCCUUUCCUUUUUUUUGGCCUUUUUUUGGGCAAUGCUCUACUAAUGAUGAUCAUCACACUUCUAUUGAUUACAACAUAAAGAUUACAACUCGAAACUUAGAACAAGAUAUGACUCUAUAUGAAUGCCUCCGGCGGUGUACCGGGAUGGUGCAAUGAAUCAAGAGUGACAUGUAUGAGAAAUAAUACAUGGUGGCUUCGCCACAAAUACGAUGUCAACUACAUGAUCAUGCAAUGGCAAUAUGACAAAAGUAAUGUAUGUCAUGAUGAUGAUGGAAGUUGCAUGUCAAUAUAUCUCGGAAUGGCUAUGGAAAUGCCAUGAUAGGUAGGUAUGGUGGCUGUUUUGAGGAAGAUAUAAGGAGGUUUAUGUGUGAUAGAGCGUAUCGUAUCACGGGGUUUGGAUGCACCGGAGAAGUUUGCACCAACUCUCAAGGUGAGAAAGGGCAAUGCAUGGUACCAAAGAGGCUAGCAAAGGCGGAAAGGUGAGAGUGCGUAUAAUCCAUGGACUAAACAUUAGUCAAAAGAACUCAUAUACUUAUUGAGUCAUCAAAAAUCAAGUACUACGCGCAUGCUCCUAGGGGGAUAGAUUGGUAGGAAAAGACCAUCACUCGUCCCCGACCGCCACUCAUAAGGAUGCACAAGCCAGGUACACUUCAUGUUUCAAGUUUGUUACACAACUUUAACCAUACGUGCAUGCUACGGGACUUGCAAACUUCAACACAAGCAUUAUUUGAAUUCAUAAUCACUCAACUAGCACGACUUUGAUAUUAUCACCUCCAUAUCUCAAAACAAUUAUCAAGCAUCAAAAUUAUCUUAGUAUUCAAUUCACUCAAAAGAAAGUUUCACAUAUCUUGAAUACCAAGUAUAUUAAUAUUAAGCAAAUUACCAAGCUAUUAACAACUCUCAAAAUAAUCUAAGUGAAGCAUGAGAGAUCAAUAGUUUCUUUAAAACAAAUCCACCACCAUGGUCUAAAAGAUCUAAGUGAAGUACUAGAGCAAAAGUUAUCACACUCAAAAGAUAUAAGUGAAGCACUAUGAGCAAAACUAUCAAGCUCAAACGAUAUAAGUGAAGUACAUAGAGUGUUCUAACAAAUUCCAAUUCAUGUAUGGCUCUCUCAAAAGGUGUGUACAGCAAGGAUAAUUGUGGUAAACUAACAAGCAAAGACGCAAAUGAUACAAGACGCUCCAAGCAAAACACAUAUCAUGUGGUGAAUAAAAAUAUAGCUCCAAGUAAAUUACCGAUGGAAGUGGACGAAAGAGGGGAUGCCUUCCGGGGCAUCCCCAAGCUUUGACUUUUUGGUGUCCUUGGAUUAUCUUGGGGGUGCCAUGGGCAUCCCCAAGCUUAGGCUCUUGCCACUCCUUGUUCCAUAAUCCAUCAAAAGAAUUCACCCAAAUCUUGAAAACUUCACAACACAAAACUCAAUAGAAAUCUCGUGAGCUCCGUUAGAGAAAGAAAACGAAGAAAUACUUAAGGUACUGUAAUGAACUCAGUCUUUAUUUAUAUUGGUGUUAAAACUACUGUAUUCCAACUUCUCCAUGGAUUAUAAACUAAUUUACUAGCCAUAGAUUCAUCAAAAUAAGCAAACAACACACGCAAAACAGAAUCUGUCAAAAACAGAACAGUCUGUAGCAAUCUGUAACUAACGCGAACUUAUGGAACUCUAAAAAUCCUACCAAAAUAGGAAGUCCUGAAAAAUUUGUUUAUUGAACAUCAGCAAAAAGAAUCAACGCAAAAUCACGUUUCUGAGAUUUAACAAAAUUAUAUUCGUGCGUGCAAAGUUUCUGUUUUUCAGCAGAAUCAAAUCAACUAUCAUCGUAGGUUAUCCUAUAGGUUCUACUUGGCACAAACACUAAUUAAAAGAUAAAACCACAUCCAAGCAGACGCUAGAUGGAUUAUUUAUUCCUAAACAUAAGCAAAAACAAAAAACACAAAUAAAAUUGGGUUGCCUCCCAACAAGCGCUAUCGUUUAACGCCCCUAGCUAGGCAUAAAAGCAAGGAUAGAUCUAGGUAUUGCCAUCUUUGGUAGGCAAUCCAUAAGUGGCUCUCAUGAUAGAUUCAUAUGGUAAUUUUAUUUUCUUUCUAGGGAAGUGUUCCAUGCCCUUCUUUAAGGGAAAUUGGAAUCUAAUAUUCUCUUCUUUCAUAUCAAUGAUCGCACCAAUCGUUCUAAGGAAAGGUCUACCAAGAAUAAUAGGACAUGAAGGAUUGCAAUCUAUAUCAAGAAUGAUAAAAUCUAUGGGCACAUAAUUCCUAUUUGCAACAAUAAGAACAUCAUUAAUUCUUCCCAUAGGCUUUUUAAUAGUGGAAUCCGCAAGAUGCAAGUUUAGAGUGCAAUCAUCAAAGUCACGGAAAUCUAGCAAAUCACACAAAGUUUUGGGAAUAGUAGAGACACUAGCACCCAAAUCACACAAAUCAUGAAACUCAUAAUCUUUAAUUUUAAUUUUGGUAGUAGGUUCCCACUCAUCAUAGAGUUUUCUAGGGAUAGAAACUUUCAACUUAAGUUUUCCUUCAUAAGAUUGCAUCAAGGCAUCAAUAAUGUGUUCGGUAAAGGCCUUAUUUUGACUAUAAGCAUGAGGAGAAUCUAGCACGGAUUGCAACAAGGAAAUACAACCAAUCAAAGAGCAAUUUUCAUAAUUAAAUUCCUUGAGAUCCAAAAUAGUGGGUUUAGCAACAUCUAGGUUUUUAUUUCUUUCAAUCCCACUUUCAUCAAUUUCAUCAUCAAGAUUUAGAAACUCCGAAUUCUUAGAACGCCUUCUAGGUAAAGGAAGAUCAUAUUCAGUUUCAUCAAGAUUCAUAUUGCAAAACAAAGAUUUAAUGGGGGACACAUCAAUAACUUUUAGAUCUUCAUCUUGAUUUUCAUAGGAAUUGGAAGAACAUGCUUUAAUAAAGGCAUCUUUGGAAGCACGCAUCCUAGUGGUUCUUUCUUUGCACUCAUCAAUGGAAAUUCUCAUGGCUUUGAGAGACUCAUUGAUAUCAUGCUUAGGAGGAAUAGAUUUAAGCUUUAAAGAAUCAAUUUCAAGAGAAAUUCUAUCAAUGUUCCUAGCCAAAUCAUCAACUUUAAGCAAUUUCUCUUCAAGCAAAGCAUUAAAAUUCUUUUAUGAAUUCAUAAACUCUUUAACACUACUCUCAAAUUCAGAGGGCAUCUUAUUAAAAUUUCCAUAAGAGUUGUUGUAGGAAUUUCCAUAGUUAUUAGAAGGAUUACUAGGAUAAGGCCUAGGAUUAAAAUUCCCUCUAUACACGUUGUUUCCAAAACUAUUCCUACCAACAAAAUUCACAUCCAUAGAUUCAUUAUUAUUCUCAAUCAAAGUAGACAAAGGCAUAUCAUUGGGAUCAAGAGAAGUAUUUUUAGUAGCAAACAUCUUCAUAAGUUCAUCCAUCUUUUCACUCAGAACAUUGAUUUCUUCUAUAGCAUGCACUUUUUUACUAGAAGAUCUUUCGGUGUGCCAUUGAGAAUAAUUAGCCAUAAUAUUAUCAAGAAAUUUGGUAGCAUCUCCUAACGUAAUUUCCAUAAACGUGCCUUCCGCGGCUGAAUGUAAAAGAUUUCUAGAAGCAAAAUUCAAUCCGGCAUAAAAAUUUUGUAUGACCAUCCAUAAAUUCAAACCAUGAGUAGGGCAAUUGCGAAGCAUCAAUUUCAUUCUUUCCCAAGAUUUGGCAACAUGCUCAUGAUCAAGUUGUUUAAAUUCAUAAUAUUGUUCCUAAGAGUGAUGAUCUUAGCGGGAGGAAAAUACUUAGAGAUAAAAGCAUCUUUGCACUUGUUCCAAGAAUCAAUACUAUUUUUAGGCAAAGACGAAAAUCAAACUUUAGCACGAUCUCUAAGAGAAAACGGAAAUAAAUUUAAUUUGACGAUAUUGUUAUCCAUAUCUUUCUUCUUUUGCAUAUCACACAAAUCAGCAAAAUUGUUUAGAUGAGUAGCGGCAUCUUCACUAGGAAGGCCGGCAAAUUGAUCUUUCAUAACAAGAUUCAGCAAAGCGGUAUUGGUUUCACAAGACUCAUCAUUAUUAAGAGGAGCAAUCGAAGUACUAAGGAAAUCAUUAUUAUUGGUAUUCGAGAAGUCACACAAUUUGGUAUUAUCUUGCGCCAUGGCAACAAGUAAUCCAACACACAAGCAAACAGCAAGGCAACGGAAAAAGGCAAACGGGAAAGAGAGGAGGAGAUUGGGAAAGAGAGGGCGAAUAAAACGGCAAGGGUGAAGUGGGGGAGAGGAAAACGAGAGGCAAAUGGAAAAUAAUGUAAUGCGAGAGAUAGGGAUUGUGAUAGGUACUUGGUAUGGUUGACUUGCUUGCGUGAGCCUCCCCGGCAAUGGCGCUAGAAAUUCUUCUUGCUACCUCUUGAGCACUGCGUUGGAUUUCCCCGAAGAGGAGAGGAUGAUGCAGCAAAGUAGCGUAAGUAUUUCCCUCAAUUUUUGAGAACCAAGGUAUCAAUCCAGUAGGAGACCACACACAAGUCCCUCGUACCUACACAAAACGAUAGCUACUCGCAAGUAACGCGAUUAGGGGUUGUUAAUCCCUUCACGGUCACUUGUGAGAGUGAGAUCUGAUAGAGAUGAUAAAUAAUAUUUUUGGUAUUUUUGGUAUAGAGAUGCAAAGUAAAAAGUAAAAGGCAAAGUAAAAGCAAAGCAAGUAAUAAAGUAAUGGAGAUUGAUAUGAUGAGAAUAGACCCGGGGGCCAUAUGUUUCACUAGUGGCUUCUCUCAAGAGCAUAGAUAUUCUACGGUAGGUGAACACAUUACUGUUGAGCAAUUGACAGAAUUGAGCAUAGUUAUGAGCAUAUCUAGGUAAUGAUCAUGUAUAUAGGCAUCCCGUCCGAGACAAGUAGAUCGAAACGAUUCUGCAUCUACUACUAUUACUCCACUCAUCGACCGCUAUCCAGCAUGCAUCUAGAGUAUUAAGUUAAAAACAAAGUAACGCCUUAAGCAAGAUGACAUGAUGUAGAGGGAUAAAUUCAUGCAAUUUGAUAAAAACCCCAUCUUGUUAUCCUCGAUGGCAACAAUACAAUACGUGCCUUGCUUCCCCUUCUGUCACUGGGAAAGGACACCGCAAGAUUGAACCCAAAGCUAAGCACUUCUCCCAUUGCAAGAACUACCAAUCUAGUUGGCCAAACCAAACGGAUAAUUCGAAGAGACUUGCAAAGAUAAAUCAAUCAUACAUAAAAGAAUUCAGAGAAGAUUCAAAUAUUGUUCAUAGAUAAGCUGGAUCAUAAACCCACAAUUCAUCGGUCUCAACAAACACACUGCAAAAAGAAGAUUACAUCGAAUAGAUCUCCACGAGAGAGGGGGAGAACAUUGUAUUGAGAUCCAAAGAGAGAGAAGAAGCCAUCUAGCUACUAGCUAUGGACCCGAAGGUCUGAAGUAAACUACUCACACUUCAUCGGAGGGGCUAUGGUGUUGAUGUAGAAGCCCUCCGUGGUGGAUGCCCCCUCCGGCGGAGCUCCGGAACAGGCCCCAAGAUGGGAUCUCGUGGAUAUAGAAGGUUGCGGCGGUGGAAUUAGGUUUUUUGCUCCUGUUUUGAUCGUUUGGGGAUACGUAGGUAUAUAUAGGAGGAAGGAGUACGUCGGUGGAGCAACAGGGGGGCCACGAGGCAGGGGGGCGCGCCCUAGGGGGGCGCCCCCCACCCUCGUGAUCGCCUUUGUUACGUCUUGGAGUAGGGUGCAAGUCUCCUGGAUCAUGUUCGGUGAGAAAAUCACGUUUUCGAAGGUUUCAUUCCGUUUGGACUCCGUUUGAUAUUCUGUUUCUUCGAAACACUGAAAUAGGCAAAAAAAAACAGCAAUUCUGGGCUGGGCCUCCGGUUAAUAGGUUAGUCCCAAAAAUAAUAUAAAAGUGGAAAAUAAAGCCCAAUAUAGUCCAAAACAGUAGAUAAAGUAGCAUGGAGCAAUUAAAAAUUAUAGAUACGUUGGAGACGUAUCAGGGGUCGUCUUGAAUCCGGCCCCCAGCCAGACACAAUUCCGGAUACCAAUAAUGCCCCAGAAUCAGGCAGGCAGCCUCCGUCGGCUGGAGGGGGUGUGUCUGUUCCACCGACAAUCUCUGUCCAACCAGAGGUGUCGGAUGCUUUAUUGGUAGCGCUGAAGAGCGCCUCCAUCGUUGAUGAACACCGUGCCCUUAUGGGUGCAGUGAUUGAAAAGAUUCAGUCUGCUGAGAGUGGACUGAAUGAAUCCUGUAUCAGCCUCAUAAGAGGCUUUGAGGUAUGUUUUAUGAUGUUUGGAAGAGUGUCAUGGUAUAGAUAGCAGCCCCUGAUACACUGUUCGGUGAAAGAAAGAGCCGGGCAGAGGAUCAAAUUUAUGUUUGAAGGAGACUCACUUGAUGACAUCUAUCUCUUUUUAAUAAGUAGGCGUCUAUAGCGACUGCUGCCUCUCAUGCUGCGAAAGUAUCCGGACUAAGGCAUAGUCUGGAGCGGGCCGAAGGAGAACUUGGCUGAGUGAAGAAACAACUGGAGGACAACCAAGGUAUGCAGAAACCUUGUUCACUUAGCACAAAUGAAUAAGUGUGCAUGAUGAAAAUAUUUUUAUGAUGUGCUCUAGGGGUGACGGCCGAAAUUGAGGCUCUUAAGAAGGCUGUGGCCGAAGCCGAGAAGAAGGCAGCCGCAGAGUAGGCUCUCCAUGAGAAGCACGAUGCUAGAGUUAUUGAAGCUGAGCGAGAGCUUCAGGAGGCCGUGAGGAAAUGCGAGACCUUGGAGCAGAGUUUAUCAGGGAAAGAAUCUGAACUCUCCCAGGCUUGCCAAGCCGCAAGUGAUGCUCGGGGGAAGCCCAAGGUGCCCUGAAGGAAAUCCAGGAGGCGAGGAAGAUUGCGGCUGGUAAGGCUUUCUAUAUACAAAGCAGGUAUUUGAGAGGAGAAAAUUAAGUUGAUAGUUAGAAUUCUGUUUUCUCCAGGGGUAUUUGUGGAGCUGCCACGUAGCAUAUCUGAUGCCGCCCAAUUCUACCGAGCCGAAGAAAGGAACACUAUGGAUAAGCUCUUAUGGACGCAGUAUCUAGCACCGAAUUAUCCGGUGCCUUUUGCCGAUCAACUGAAGCAGCUGAUCGAACUGCAUAAGGCGGCCGAGCUAGCCAUGAAGGAUUUAAUUAUCCGGCUAUGGCCCGCCGAGCCGAUUCUAAGCAGUUACUUCGGGCUCGUGAAGCGGCUUGUGAGUGCCUGCCCUCGACUCGAAGUCAUCAAGAGGUCGGUCUGUAUGGAGGGUGCGUGAAUGGCCUUCGCCCGUGCAAAGGUGCAUUGGGGGAAGAAGGAUGCGGAAAAGCUGAUGACUGAGGGACCACCGGAGGGGAAGGAGCACCACAAGCCCGAACUAUAUUAUGAAGGUGUCUUGAAAGGAGCUCGCCUUGCAGCGGAGCAAUGCACCAAGGACAUUAUAUUCCAUGAAUACAGUCAUGUUGCACUACAAAAAAAGACACAUCCGUGACAUUUUGGGCCGAACGAAAUUUUUUUCUGUCAUACAUAUGACACUUCUAUGAGGAUAAUUGUGACAAAACCCAGUAUCAUCAUAGAUGUGGUGGGCUCCUACUUCUAUGACAAAAAAUCAUGACAAAAAAUGGGCUUUUCGUCCUGGGCGGGCCGGAGACGCAGCUGCAUGACAUUCUUUGGGCCGUCCAUGACGGAAAAAACCGUGGUAGAAGGGAGGGGGAGGAAAAUUUCAGGGAGUUACCGGUUACGGUGGGAGGCCGAGGGCCGAGCGAUGCGCGUUUCUCUCGUACACGUGCGAGGCGUUGGCUCUAACUGAACCCGAGCGAGGCGUUGGCCUCUAACUGAACCCGAGCGAUUGCACUGCAGGCUACGCGUUACUGAACCCGAGCGAUCGAUCGAUGGCUGUUAACUGAACCCGAUGGAGCGAUUCCUUCGCUAUUACUACUAACUGAAGCCGAUCGAUUGGAUGAACAGUGAGCGUUACGNNNNNNNNNNNNNNNNNNNNNNNNNNNNNNNNNNNNNNNNNNNNNNNNNNNNNNNNNNNNNNNNNNNNNNNNNNNNNNNNNNNNNNNNNNNNNNNNNNNNNNNNNNNNNNNNNNNNNNNNNNNNNNNNNNNNNNNNNNNNNNNNNNNNNNNNNNNNNNNNNNNNNNNNNNNNNNNNNNNNNNNNNNNNNNNNNNNNNNNNNNNNNNNNNNNNNNNNNNNNNNNNNNNNNNNNNNNNNNNNNNNNNNNNNNNNNNNNNNNNNNNNNNNNNNNNNNNNNNNNNNNNNNNNNNNNNNNNNNNNNNNNNNNNNNNNNNNNNNNNNNNNNNNNNNNNNNNNNNNNNNNNNNNNNNNNNNNNNNNNNNNNNNNNNNNNNNNNNNNNNNNNNNNNNNNNNNNNAUGAACAGGACCCCCGUUUCUACCGUAGCGCUCCAACACAAGUCCGUUUCGUCCGUUUUGCGGUACGCCACACCCUUCCCGAUCAUCAGGACCCCCGUUUCGACCGUAGGAGGUCCGUUUCCUCCAUUUUGCGGUAUGCCACACCCCUCCUGAUCAACAGGACCCCCGUUUCAACCGUAGGAGGUCCGUUUCCUCCGUUUUGCGGUAUGCCACACCCCUCCCGAUCAAUAGGACCUAGGAGGUCCAUUUCCUCCGUUGUGCGGUAUGCCAGGCCUUGUUUCCAUUGCCUGUUCCGUCAAAGCCGGUUGGCUCCCACGCGUUUCAUUGCCUCCCGAUGAACACGACGCAUUCUGUUGCCUCCCCAUGAACACGACGCAUUCCGUUGCCUCCCCAUGAACACGACGCAUUCUGUUGCCUCCCCAUGAACAUGACGCAUUCCGUUGCCUCCUCCCCAUGAACACGAUGACGAUGCUGUUUCUUUGUUCCAACCCAGCCAUGUACACGAGCCCUCGCCGUACGUAUGCGCGAGUAGGCAUUCGAGACCCCGCCCGUAUGUACACAUACGUGGCCGUAUUUUCUUUCUUGCACCCUGGCCGCUGUACGUACAUGUACAUGCUACGUGCGCGCCUCUACUAUGACACGUGCGCGCCUCUACAACGACCAAUAUGUACGUACACGUUCGCGACCAGAAUGACAACGCUACAUACGCUUCGACCAGGUGGGUCCCGACUGUCAGGCACUUCCUUGCCUGCGAAGAUGUAGCUGGUGGGUCCCAGCAGUUAGGGGGGCGAAUCGUUUUGUUUUUUUUGCCCGGAUGCACUUCCUUGCAUGCGAAGAUGUAGCUGGUGGGUCCCAGCAGUCAGGGGGGCGAAUCGUUUUUUUGCCCGGACGCACUUCCUUGCGUGCGAAGAUGUAGCUGGCGGGUCCCAGCAGUCAGGGGGGCGAAUCGUUUUGUUUUUUUUGCCUGGACGCACUUCCUUGUGUGUGAAGGUGUAGCUGGUGGGUCCCAGCAGUCAGGGGGGGAAACAUUUUUUUCGCAAAAUAUGGUGGCCCGUCUGGUGGGUCCCCACUGUCAGGUGGAGGAAUAAUUAUUUUGCACGUAAUAAGGAGGCACUUCCUUGCUGCGGCCGUGGACCCAGCUGUCAGCCUCUCCACGUACAGUCCACGUCCAAUGGAAGCCGUUCCUUGAUCACGUUGACCAUGCCGUGCCGAGAGCACCAGGGCGGUGGACGAUGGCGAGGCCUAGGAAGGGGACGACACAGAGCCGGGGAAGACGCGACAGUGGAUGCCCACGCGUAGUGGAGUACGAGGGUUCGCUGGUUCGCUGCGGUGUGAGGCUGCCAUCGCCGCAGAAUAAUAGGGGUGUGGGUGAGUAGAGGGAUGGCCUAGCCAGCGGUGGGAGUAGUAGGGGGCGGUGAGGCCUCCGCCGCAUCGCAGCCGGCCACGGGAGGCAGGAGCACGAGGCACGACCGGCGCUAGUUUGGGCGGCUGGAGUAAGAAGACCAGAGGUUGAAGAAGCACUACGGCCGUUGGAUGGAGAUCGUAUGGUCACUGGAGCUAGAAUCGUGCGUAUUGACUAAGUUGACAAAGCCCUCCGUCCCGUCAACUUAGUAGGCCCACAAGUCAGCCUGCCACUAUACUGGGUCCCAGCUAACAGGCGGAGUAUUCAUUUUUGUUGUGCGUAAUAAGGAGGCACUUCCUUGCGUGCGAAGAUAUAGCUGGUGGGUCCGAGCUGUCAGUGGCGGUAACGUUUUUUUCACGAAAUACAGAGGCCCUUUCGGUGGGUCCCUGAUGUCAGGUGGAGGAAUCAUUAUUUUGCGCGUAAUAAGGAGGCAUUUCCUUGCGUGCGUCCGUGGACCCAGCUGUCGGCCUCUCCACGUACAGUCCACUUCAGAUGCAUGUCGGUCAUUGACCAUGUUGACCAGGCCGUGCCGAGAGCACCAGGGCGGUGGACGACGGCGAGGCCUAGGAAGGGAACGACACGGAGGCAGGGAAGACUCGGCAAUUGUUUCCCACGCGGAGGGGAGUACGACUGUACGAGGGUUUACUGGUUUGUCUGAUGUCGCCAGAGAAUAACAGCAAGUGUGGGUGAGUAAAGGGAUGGCUAGGCCAGUGAUGGGAGUACGGUGGGGCGGUGAGGCCUGCGCAGCAGCAGAGCCGACCGCGGGGAGGAGGGAGCAGGCAGUCCCGCCGGCGCUUGUUUGAGCGGCUGGAGCAGGAAGAGCAGAGAUUGAAGAAGCACGACGGCCGUUGGAUGGCCAUCCAACAGUCACUGCUUGUGUGCCAACCUUUUUUUAGGAAAGCCUCAAAUCUGUGGUAAACAUCAUACAACCCAUCUGCCAUUAUUUCUAAUAAUUUACAGCCCAUUUGCUAAUUCUUAGGUUUUUUGGAGCCCAUAUUCUUUUUGUUAGCAUUACAACCCAUACUGUGGCCACGGUUAAAAAAUUAUACGAAAUUUUGCAUAUUUCGGUGCGGUCUGAACUGUUUUUAAUCCCGAAAUUUCGACUCACAUUCAAACUGAUUUUCAAAAUAAAUGUAUAUCAAUAUAAAAUCCAACAAAUUCUCCAUGCAUAAAAAUUAAUGUAAUUUAAAAUCUCGAAAUGAAAAAAAAGAUAUGUGAAACUAAUUGUCGGUUUGAUGUGUUUUAAAAAUGUACAACCUAUUUCUCAUUACUGAUGGGCCAUUUUCUUGGCCAGCCGAAUAAAAGUUCUCCUCGUCUUGAAAGAUUUGCAGCCCAACAGGCCUGACAAAGUGACUUACUUGGCAAAUCACAAAAAACUGCGCUGUGGCCAUGGACCCAGCUGUCAGCCUCUCCACGUACAGUACUCUUCCGAUGGAAGUCGUUCCUUGACCAUGUUGACCACGCCGCGCGGAGAGCACCACGGCGGUGGACGACAGCGAGGCCUAGGAAUGGGACGACGCAGUGCCGAGGAAGACGCGACAGUGGAAGCCCGCGCGGAGAGGAGUAUGAGGGUUCACUGGUUCGGCUGUGGUGUGAGUCUGCCAUCGCCGCAGGGCCUGGCCAGCAGUGGGAAUAGUAGGGGGCAAUGAGGCCUCCACGGCAGCACAACCGGCCACGGGAGGCAGGAGCAUGAGGCACGACCAGCGCUGGUUUGGGCGGCUGGAGCAAGAAGACCAGAGGUUGAAGAAGCACUAUGACUGUUGGAUGGACAUCGUACGGUCACUGGAGCUAGAAUCGUUCAUAUUGACUAAGUUGACAAAGCCCUUCGUCCCCGUCAACUUAGUAGGCCCACAAGUCAGCCUCCCACCCAAGGUGGGUCCCAGCUAGCAGGGGGAGUAUUCAUUUUUUGUGUGUAAUAAGGAGGCACUUCCGGUGGGUNNNNNNNNNNNNNNNNNNNNNNNNNNNNNNNNNNNNNNNNNNNNNNNNNNNNNNNNNNNNNNNNNNNNNNNNNNNNNNNNNNNNNNNNNNNNNNNNNNNNNNNNNNNNNNNNNNNNNNNNNNNNNNNNNNNNNNNNNNNNNNNNNNNNNNNNNNNNNNNNNNNNNNNNNNNNNNNNNNNNNNNNNNNNNNNNNNNNNNNNNNNNNNNNNNNNNNNNNNNNNNNNNNGGUGGCCUGUCAGGUGGGUCCUAGUAGUCUGGGGGCAAACAUUUUUUUUCGCAAAAUACGGUGGCCCGCCCAGUGGGUCCGUGCUGUGAGUUGGAGGAAUCAUUAUUUUCUGCGUAAUAAGGAGGCACUUACUUGUUGUGGCCGUGGACCCAGCUGAGACUCUCCACGUAUAGUAUACUUUCGAUGGAAGUUGUUCCUUGACCACAUUGACCUCGCCACGUUCCGUUGCAUGCAUGCGUCCAUGGGCGUGGUGCGUCCCCACUGUCAGCCUCUCACGUACAGUCAUCUUCCGAUGACUCUCGGUUGUUUGACCACGUUGACCACACCGUGUCGAGCGCACCCAGACUGGAACGACCCGGAGAUGGGGAAGACGGGGCAGUGGAGUCGCAGAUGGAGAGGAGUGGGAAACUUCACUGGUUCGGGUGCGCGACAGCACAGCCGCAGUGCCGCCCACGGGAGACAGGAGCAAGAACAGAGGUUGAAGAAGGAGCACGGCUGUUGGAUUAACAUCCAACGGUCCAGCUGCUAGAAUCAUUUGUUGAUUAAGUUGACAAAGCCAUGCGUACAUGUCCGCCUAGCAGGCCCACAAGUCAGUCACCAAAUCUGACGGGUCCCAGCUGUCAACGGGAUGAAUAAUUUUUUUCGCAAAACAAGGAGGCACUUCCUUCCGUGCGAAGAUACAACCGGUGGGUCCCAGCUGUCAGGUGGAGGAAACAUUUUUUUUCAGCUUAAUAAGGAGGAACUUUCCUUGCGUGCGACCAUGGACCUCGUGGGUCCCAGCCGUCAGGCUCUCCACGUACAAUCCUCUUCCGAUGACUCUCGUUUGUUGACCACGCCGCACCGAACACAGCGAGGCGGUGGACGACGGUGAGGCCCCGGACGGGAACGACUCGGAGAUGGGAAAACGCGGUAGUGGAGUUGCAGAUUGAGAGGAGGAGAGGGGUUAUAACUGGUUCUGUUGCGGCGUGGGGUUGUAGUCUGUGGAGAAUAGCAGGAGGUGUCGAGGGGUGGAGGGAUAGCCUGGCCGGCUGUAGGGUAGCGCUUCACAGCGAUGCGUGCUAAGCAGAGCCGCUAGCCGCCGGAGGCUGGACCAGGCGGUCCCGGCAACGCUGGAGGAAGAAGACGAGAGAUUGAAGGUGCAUGCCGGCCGUUGGAUAUAAAUCCAGUGGUUGUGGAUGAUACAAUCAUUUGUUGACCAAGUUGACAACGCCCUGCGAAGGCUUCGACCUAUUGGCCCACAUGUCAGCCUGCAAAAAUGUGGCAUAUAUUUAACCCAUGUUUUCUAGAAUGUACAGUCCAUUUGCUAGGCUGGGUGAACAAAUAAUUUCGCGUCAAUCAGGCCAAUUUAUAUUUUCUAAGAAAUCCCAGCCCAUUUGCAGUUCCUUGAAAUACACGUAUUAGGUGGGCUCGUUAUAUAUAUAAUGUUAUGUUAGAAGGAGCAAUUAAUAUCAAAGAAUAAACCGGAGAUGCACAUUUUUUAUAUAUAUAAUUAAGAAAUUAGCGAGUUAUUUCUCAAAAUAAAAAUGAGCGCGUUAUUAUUAAAUUGGUCCUUAAAAUCUUCGCAAGCUUUUGUACGCAAGCACCAGGAUUUUCCUUGCCUGUGAGUCAAAAACAACCAGGAUUUUCCGUUAAACAUUUACUUUUAUAAGUUAAUAACACGUGGGAUGUUUUUAUAAUGUAUAUAUAAGUCUCUAUAAAAUAUACGAUAAUAGUAAUAAUAUAAAUAUAUAUAAUGUGAUUAGAAGGGAAAACAUAAAUUGGACACAACAUUACUUUUAUAAGAGACCUGCGUUUUAUACCCGACAGUAGGCAUACUAACAAGUUCACACACAAAUACAACAGAAAAAGUAAACAUUCAUAUCAAACUCAGGUUCACAGGACACGUUCAUAUUCAUAGCCAACAUUCACUAUCAACAACUCAAAAGAUUCAUAUAUACACAAGCUCAGCAUAUCUAUGCAUCCAAAUGAUUGAUAGAUCACACGACAAUAUUCAUACAUAAUUCACAAAAAGAUUUAGAUAUACACAUGUUCAGUAUGUUUAUGCAUCCAAAUGAUUGAGAUCACAGCCAAUAUGAUCCAUGGACAAACUUUAAUUACCUAGGGUACAGACUAGUAAAUGGUGUUCAAUCGGAGGUACUUCUUGCUAAAAUUAGUUCUUGUACGAGUAAACUUUCGAGUACAUAAGAGGCAGCACAGAUAAUUUGAACUUUGCUUGUAGGUUUAUCCUCAAAUAGUGGCCUCGUGCCGAGGGAGGUUUGAGCAACUUGGCCACUACUUUCAUCCAACUAGUUUACUGGCUCAUCUUGGUCCUGUAUCUCGCCAAAAUUCUACAUUGCAGACGAGAAAGGAGGCGGUUGAGAAAAUGAACCACCCAAUUUUUUUGUGCAGUUCAACUGAAAUGGAGCAUCUUAACGUGCAGACUGAUUAAGUGCCAGAUGAAUAUAUGCGUCAACCAACUUGUCUGGAAUCUUUAUACUCCAUGCCAUAUAGUUCGCUACCAUAUGUGCCUAUAACCAAAAGGCACAAGUUGGGACCAAAGACUGGACUCUGUUUUUCUGGGCUAUGCACCAAGCAAUAUUUUUGGCGUUCACUCUCCUAAUACUUGGAGUUUGACAAUUGGUUGACGCCGGUUGAUACUCGAAUGAAUAUAGGCACUUCUUGUCAACAUUGAUGCUUGUCUGAGUGAACUUUGGAGUACAUAGCAGCAGCAUAAGUACCUAUCCAUCUGAUCUGUUUGUGCAGUUCUACUGAAAUCACCCGAUGUAAUGAUUUGCCUGCGAGUUCAGGCUCCAAACUACUCCUUUAUGAAAUCGGCAAACGGUAGCACAAUACCAAAUUACCAAUACAUAUGACAGGCACAAUAAUCAAGAUAAAGACCAGUACCAACCUGUGUGAGGUAGCAUAUCAAUUACUAUUUCCUUUGACUGGAAGCCGAGAUAAGCCAAGCGACUGACAACAAAGGAAGAAAGCAAACGGAGAUUAGCGACUGACAGGAAAGGACGGAAGCUGUCGAGGCAAUGAAGCACCCAAAGUUUUUGUGCAGUUCCACCAAAAUCGAGCAUCCCUGUUGGCACAUAUAUUGAGAGAGUGAGAUUACUAUAAUAGUGGGACUAGUUGAUGAAACAUACACUAACAAAUAGAAGCACCCUCAUUAUCUUAAUGGGUAAAGUUAGCAACAUAGUAGUCUUGCUUAAAGAGAGGUAUUAGUUUAUUUAAUCAGUGCCAAUUAGCUCAACUCAACACUCAAAGCAUUGCCAUUUAUCAUAGGUUGCAAAACUUAAAAGUGCAAAGAUAAAGGAGUUUCUCAUGACAGUAGCACGAUACAAAUAGAGAUGACAUCAAACUAAUAUGGAUGAAGGCCUUAGGCCCGUACCAACCUGAGAAAUAAAGCUUAUUCAUGUAGUCCCAUAAGAGAUGAUAAAGCACACACUGGAAUCACACAAUAGUAUAUAUUUUUGUGCACUUCAAAUGUAUGGUUGAAAUCACUCUUAUUUACUAGUGCUGAGAUUAUAUCAAAAGAUUAUCAAGAACUUCCAGCAGAGUUAAAGCACUGGCUGGGAUACAGUUCAUUGUAUUGUCUUGUGUAGUUCCACUAAAAUGUAUGAUUGGCACAACAUGAUCCCUGUUUGCACAAGUAGGAACAAGGUGAAACCUUCAUUAGCUUAGUGAGAAAGGUUAUGAAGACAUUAGCAUAUUACUCAAACAGUAGCAUAAAAUUCAUGAUGGACAAUACGCAAAACAUUGCCUCAUUGAACCAAUGGAAAUAAAUUGACAUGCAAAACAAUAGCACUAUUAUGUCAUGACACUAAUAAUUUUCCCUCCCUGCUCCACCACAUGAUUCACCUCCAUAGACAAACAUUCACACAUACAUGAUUCAGCAUCGGGUCCUACUAAAGAUUUGUUUAACUCCAACAGGAAAAUUAGGCAGUAAUAAAUUAGUGGUACUUAAGUACUCCUAGUUAAUUAAGCGAGACAACAGAAGUGGAAGGGCUCCCUGGAGGAUCGUCUCACAUGUAAGGUAGUCAUUGCCGGAGCCCUUGAAUAGCCUCGACUAAGGCCUCUAGCUUCAGCAAGAUCGCCUUGGCACUGUUUAUUCUUCUUCUUCCUCUUCAUGCUCUGUUUCUCUUUCUCCUCACCAGUUGGUGAAACCAAGUACAUGAUUGGCCUCCUAAUUCAGAAUUGGUUUUGUCAGUGAGGGAGUACACGUGUACUAGUAAAAAACAACAUUAUUUUCUCAUGGCAGUCAGAAAAUAGAGAUGAACACAUGCAUUAAAUAUCAUUCUUACCUAAAGGAAGGUUAUGGCGCCAAUAUGGAUGAUGAGGAUUGAAACACAGAUCUCCCUUUGUGCAGUUCCACCCGAAUGAACCAACUGUUCCAUUCUGACAUUCUAGUUAAACAACACAAAAGUCACUUCUUUUAAGAAGAGUUUUGUGCAGUGCACCAAAAGGUCACAACAGCAACCAGGUGAAUUGGAUAUCCCUGUUUGCACAAAAAGGCACAGAGGAAACAGUCAGAGUCUCAAACAAUUACAGGCAAAAACAUUUGGCUAAACUUGUCAGUCUCAAACAAUUACAGGCAAAAACAGUGGCAUGGCUUUAUUUUUACCAGGGACAUUAUAUUAAGAACAACUAAGGCUGCGUUCGGUUCAUAGGUUUGGUGCAGGAUUUCCGUAGGAACACAAUUCCUAUGGUAUUCUUUCCCUUCCAACCGUUCGGACCACGGGAAUGGUGAAUAGUUUUUCAUAGGAAAGCCGGUCUGGUAGUACUGAUUCCAUCGGAUUAGAAACAUCCACACGCUGCUCAUUUUUUGGGCGGAAGCCCGAGGUAGGCGCUCGCUGCCAUGCGUUAGACAGGUUGCCGUGCUGUGUUUGCCGGAAUAAAAAAAUCAACCUAUGUGUGGUACGUGAGGUGAGGACAAGAGUAGUCACUGUGCAGCUGAAUAAACAAAUAGCAUCUCAUACUGCCAAGCAUGCUACUCUAAAAAAACAAAUUGUACAUUUCGUAGUCCAUCCGAACACAUUCUCUUGAGAGUUUCCUCCAGUUCACUGUUCCAUAGUUUUAUACCUACAUUCCUUUCCUAUUCCUCUAUUUUCAUCAAGACCUAUGUUUUCUGCCCCUUUAUUCCGACCGGAGCCUAAAUAUUUGGUAUAAGGGCAUGGGACAGUGGGUGCACCAGCAGUAUAGCACCAUGUACAUAAACAGGGGCAUAAAGUGGUGAUUCAUAGUUUGUUGCCCCGAGAAACAAACAUCCAAGAAACAUAUCUGGGUUGGUCCCAUUUUUGCUUACUCUAGCCACCUACUCCUAUGUGUGGAUAGCAAAUCUAGUCCUGGUCAUACCACUAUGUACAGCGUUACCCCUAUAUUUCCCUUUUCGACCAAGAGACCGGUUGGAUGACCAGUAUGUACUACUUUCAUCCCCUCUCCUUCCUGUUUGUACCAAGUCCGAUGUACAUACUACAUUCCCCCACCCCCACUUUAUUUCAAUGACAAGUAUUUUCGGAAAGAGGGAGUACAAGAUUCGACUCCAUGAAGUAGCUUUACCUCUAACAAUAGAAAAAAAAUAGGUGACGUUGGACCAUCCGAUCGAGAGGGGCUGAGAGGUAGAAAAUGAUGCGCAUGCAGUGACGUAGCUAGCUGGGGAAGUAGAGCUAAGGCGGUUUCGAACGAAGAUAUACCUGAAGGUCGUCGGGAUGUGGAUAGGUGGGCGGAGGGAGGCCGGAUCCGCCCACAAGCAACAAUGAAGGGAUCGGAGGACCUCCCGCGUCGGCGCUCGGCCAGAGAUAACGGUGCGGCCGGCAGUGGGUCUCCUCCCUCGCUGUCAAUGACGGCCUAAAUGCUGCCCCUCCUCCCCUUCACCGGCGGAGGGGGAUACGUCCGGAUCUGUAACCAGCGGUGAGGAUAGAAAGCCAGUGUUUUUUGAAGGGAGAAAGACAGUGUUACUACCCCUAUCUUGUUUAGAUCUGGAGAGGAUGAGAGUGUGUGAAUAGAGUAGCCCUAGCAAGCAAGCGCGGAGGCUCCGGCCUAUAUAUAAGUAGUGGGGUAGUUUUCCUUUUUCACUCCAUCAAAACAAUCGUUUAAAAUUGUGUACUACUACAUGCCAGGUCGCGGUGUUUUUAGUUGUUGAUUGUUUUUUGAGAUAGCUACCCGCUUGUUCCAAGUGAUGUUACGGUGUGCCAGGUCGCACUUUGUAUCGUUCAAGUCUGGUACUACAAGUCCCUCCACUAAAUGAACAACCACCCCCUCGUAAAAAUUGUGAACAAGCCCACGGCUAAAAUUAGCGGAAACGUGGGUUGCCCCAACAUGCAUUAUUAUUUAUAUUUUCUACUCCCUCCGUUCCUAAAUAUAAGUCUUUUUGAUUAGCCACACCUAAGACAAGAAUUUCUUUAUUAGCAGUGAACCCCACAUGUCAUAGACACAAAAAUUGUGGCAAGAUUCCCUUAGGCAAGCCAAAGUGUGUCUAACAAUUUGAGCAACUCAGGUUAGGCAAGUGUGGCAAGUGUGGGAAAAAUAAUUUUGCAACAUAAGCCAAACAUAGUCACAAUCCAAACAGCCCCGUAAUUUUUUGUGACAUGCAUGAAAAUUUGGUUAGUUAAAUUUAUUGUCAAAAUUUGGCAAGGUGCAUCAAAUCAACACAAGCAAGUAUCAAAAGGAAAGGCACGCCAUGCAUGCAUGUGUUGUACUCCCUCCUUUUCCAAAUAUAAGUCUUUUUAGAGAUUGCAACAAGUGACUACAUACGAAGCAGAAUAUGUCUACUCCUACAUACGAAGUAGCCCAUUUGAAAUGUGUAAAAAGACUUUUAUCGAGUGCAGUGCUUUGAUGUGUCGCAUCAAAUCGUACAAGACCGAGAAAUUUGAUUACUACGACGCCCUCUCCCUCGCGGACUGAGCUCCGGUGCCUUAAUUGCACCUGCCUUUGGCUGCAUGACAGGUGGGCCAACCACCUGUUGGGCCCACCUGCCAUAGACGCAAAGGCAUGAGCAGUAAGUAGAAGCUUUCGCUACACGCUAUCCCUCCCACACGAGGUGGACGGACAUGCAACAGUGGAUUCGAUAUUGUAGAAGUAGGAGUAACAUCAUUGUUCGUCUUCUCGAAGAGGCGAAGAGCCAAGCGCAAACCGAACGUGGCAGUUGCGAACGCUCUCGUGGUGCGGUUCCUUGGAGUACUAGCCAGGCUCUUGCAUGAGACAAAAUUGCUAUUGUUUAACAAUUAAACUCCAUUAUCCAUUGGUUGAUACUCAUUCUGCAUAGGUCCACGUGCUUAGCACCAUUUCCUCCGGGGUCACAAAUGUUUAUUUGCUAAUUAAUAGCAUUCCAUGCAAUGAACUAGCCAUUGCAAGUCAUUAAAAGCAUGUACACUGUCGGCGUUCUGGGAACGGGGUCCCCAGACUUGCCUGCCUGCGGCCUGUGGCGUGGCUCGAAGGGGGGCCUAGCACGGCCCAUCUUCAUCAACACGAGCUCAAGACCCUUGCGAGGGGCCAAGCCUCGCGGGGCGGGCGACAAGGAGCUUCCUCAGGCGUGGCCUCAUCAGGCUGGCUCACGAGGAGGCAGAGAGAUCAAGGCGGGCUACCUCGCGAGGUGCCCAUGACGCAAGCCAUGACGACCAAGGGCGCCAGGCGGGUGCCAUCCCGCGCAGUGUCCUCCUUUCCUCUUUGGUGCAAAGGGGGCAAGCGCAAGCGAGAGUAUCAAGCAAAGGCGUCCGUUUCGGUGCAACAAGACCAAGACCAGUCCAACGGCAGGAUGGAGGUCAUCGUGGAGCCCAAGCCGGCGUCAUCACCAGAACCUUUGGCAGGCGAGGACCAACUUUAGUCAGGAUAAGUGUACCAGAUGUUCCCCUUCAAAAUGGCCAAUUGUUGGCGCCCUUCCCGCUCAAUAUUUGGGAAGAGGCCCAGGGCCUUUGCCUAUAAAUAGGACUAGCCACCCACAGGGUAGAGGCAUCUGGAUAGGCAUCUUGAUAGGUAUCUGGAGGUAGGAUAGACAUCUCGAAUCAACCCCUCCGAAGGGACAACACCACCACAAGAACAGACCCUCGCGAGGCAGUUCUUCCUUGUAUUGUUCAUCAUCAGCCCAAGAGGCAAUCCACCAGCCACACACUUGAGUAGGGUAUUACACCGCAAUGGUGGCCUGAACCAGUAUAAACACCGUGUCCCUUGUGUUGUUCUUUUGAUAGCUUAGAUCCCAGCAUGGCGGUAGGGUGCAGGUAGGUAGUGGGCGAGAUCUCCGCGCGCACCCCAGUGUUCGAACCUCAAGGGUCUGCCGGAACCCGAAACCCGACCUUUGGUGUGCCAGGUAGGGGGUGCGCCAGAAUUCGUCUUCCACCGCCCUGUUCUCCUCCGACCAUCGCGUCCAUGUCUGACGCUCGUCGGGCCCGCGCCGAGCGCCGAGCCGCUCUCGCCUCCCAUGUCGCCCAGACGGCCCCUGUCGGCGGGCGUCCUCGUCGUUCCCCGUCGCCCGCCAUCAACGCCGCCACCAGCCCGGCGGGGAACGAGCAACAGGCAUCAUCCCAGCAUCCCUCCAUGAGGCAAGACGGCCGCACUGCUACCCCCUCGUUAACCCUAGUGGGUUCCUCGUCUCAUGCGUUCCGCGCACCCAUGGAGGCUCGAGCUGCACUCAUCGCGGCGAACGAGCUCCUGCGCUACUGUCCCAUCGGCGACGUCUAUGAAGAGUGGCUCGACCGCGUCGCCGAGCUCGUCCGCGCCGCAGGGUGCUCUCCAGCACCGUCCGUCCCACUGCGCCGCACCCCGCCCUGCGCGGGCGAUGAAGCCCCGAGGGCGCCUCAGCCACCGCCUCCUUAAGAAGGCGCCCUUGCCCCAAGGCACGUGGCCCCUGGGCGAGAUCCGCCCCGUCAGGCGCCAGCGUGGCAAGAGCAGAGCUGCCAAGAAGUCCCUCGUCCGGAAGAAGCCGCCCGAGUGCUCCCUGCUCCGGCUCGUCGCGACCACGCUCCCGCCCCCGAGCGUCAAGACCCCGCGCUGCUCCUAGCUGUAGCGUGUGGGGACCCACAAGACCAAGCUCCUCGUCACCCAAGGCCUCCGGUAGCCACAGCGGGCUGCUGUGCCUUCACCACCGAGCUGCGCAACGUUGCGUGGCCCGGCAAGUUCAAGCCAGACCUGCCUCCUCGCUACGACGGCAUGGCAGACUCCACCGAGUUCCUCCAACUCUACGAGCUGGGCAUCGAAGCCGCCAACGGAGACGAGAAGGUCAUGGCGAACUGGUUCCCCAUGGCGCUCAAGGACGGGGCCCGCACCUGGCUCCUGAACUUGCCCCCCGGCACGGUCUCCUCCUGGGACGAGAUGCGCACCCGCUUCAUCAUCAACUUCCAAGGUACCCGUGACCGGCCACCUGCCCUGAGCGACAUGCGCCGCAUCAAGCAGCAGCCAGGGGAGACCCUGCAGAAGUACAUCCAGCGCUUCAACAACGCGCGCCUCAAGAUUCCCAAGGUGACCGAGGAGGCCAUCAUCUCGGCCUUCUCUGACGGCAUGCGUGACGUCAAGAUGAAGGAGGAGCUGGCGAUGCAUGAAGACCUGUGCACCUCUCUGGAGCUGUUCAACUUGGCGACCAAGUGUGCUAGGGCUGAGGAAGGGCGCCUCUCCCUCCUUGAGCUGCCUGACGCAGACCCAGAAGAGAAGAAACCCAAGGCCAAGGAUGUGAAGCGCAAGGGGGCUGCCGUGCUAGCGGCGGAACCGAAUACCAAGCGGGGCAGAGAUCUGCCCGAAUCUUCCAAGGGCAGCUGAGGGAGUCCUGGACUAGGGGGUGUCCGGAUAGCUGAACUAUCAUCAUCGGCCGGACUCCAAGACUAUGAAGAUACAAGAUUGAAGACUUCAUCCCAUGUCCGGAUGGGACUUUCCUUGGCGUGGAAGGCAAGCUUGGCGAUACGGAUAUGUAGAUCUCCUACCAUUGUAACCGACUCUGUGUAACCCUAGCCCUCUCCGGUGUCUAUAUAAACCAGAUGGUUUUAGUCCAUAGGAAAAAUAACAAUCAUACCAUAGGCUAGCUUCUAGGGUUUAACCUCCUUGAUCUCGUGGUAGAUCCACUCUUGUAAUACACACAUCAUCAAUAUUAAUCAAGCAGGACGUAGGGUUUUACCUCCAUCAAGAGGGCCCGAACCUGGGUAAAACAUCGUGUCCCUUGUCUCCUGUUACCAUCCGCCUAGACGCAUAGUUUGGGACCCCCCACCCGAGAUCCGCCGGUUUUGACAACGACAUUGGUGCUUUAAUUGAGAGUUCCUCUAUGUCGUCACCGAUAGGCUCGAUGGCUCCUUCGAUCAUCAACAACAACGCGGUCCAGGGUGAGACUUUUCUCCCCGGACAGAUCUUCGUAUUCGGCGGCUUUGCACUGCGGGCCAAUUCAUUUGGCCAUCUGGAGCAGAUCAAAAGCUACGCCCCUGGCCGUCAGGUCAGAUUUGGAAGUCUGAACUUCACGGCUGACAUCCGCGGAGACUUGAUCUUCGAUGGAUUCGAGCCACAGCCGAGCGCGCCGCACUGUCACGAUGGGCAUGAUUUAGCUCUACUGCCGGACAGUGCCCUGGAGGCCGCACACGAGUCCGCUCUAACCCUCAAUUUGGAGCCGGCUGUGCAGAUCGAGGACGGGUGGUUAGACACCGCCUCGGGGGCUGCAACCUCUACGGCGAUAGAGCCGAAUACUGACCUUGUCCCUUGUGAAGCUCGUGACUCCGAGGUGCUAGACUCCUUGCCGGACUCCGAACCUCCUGCGCCCCCUCCAAUCGAAUCCGAUUGGGCGCCGAUCAUGGAGUUCACCGCUGCGGACAUCUUUCAGCACUCACCUUUCGGUGACAUCCUGAGUUCGCUAAAGUAUCUCUCGUUAUCAGGAGAGCCCUGGCCGGACUGCGGUCAGGACGGUUGGGAUGCGGACGACGAAGAAAUUCAAGGCCCACCCACCACCCACUUAGUAGCCACUGUCGACGAUCUAACCGACAUGCUAGACUUCGACUCCGAAGACAUCGACGGUAUGGACGAUGAUGCCGGAGACGACCAAGAACCAGCGCCUACUGGGCACUGGAAAGCCACCUUGUCAUAUGACAUAUACAUGGUGGAUAUCCCAAAGGAUGGGAAUGGUGAGGGAACAGCGGAGGAAGACCCCUCCAAGAAACAGACCAAGCGCCGACGUCAAUGGCGCCGCUCUAAAUCCCGCCACAGCAAGAAUGGAGAUUCCGGCACCGGAGAUAAUAAUACCCUAGACAGUGCCGAAGACAACCCCCUCUAGCGAGAUUCAGCACAGGAGGACGGAGAAGCCAGCCCUCAUGAGAGAGCGGCAGACGAAGAGGUAGAGGAUGAUAAUUACAUGCCUCCCUCCGGAGACGAGGCAAGCCUCGACGACGACGAAUUUGUCGUGCCUGAGGAUCCCGUCGAACAAGAGCAUUUUAAAUGCAGGCUUAUGGCCACGGCAAACAGCCUCAAGAAAAAGCAGCAACAGCUUAGAGCUGAUCAAGAUCUGCUAGCCGACAGAUGGACUGAAGUCCUUGCGGCCGAAGAGCAUGAGCUCGAACGCCCCUCCAAAAGCUACCCCAAACGCAAGUUGCUCCCCCGAUUAGAGGAGGAGGCAUAUAAACCUGCAUCACCAGCGCACAAUAUGGUUGACCGACCACCUCGUGGCCGCGACAGAGAGGCCUCUAGGCCCUCCACUAGAACCGUACCCCGGCAUCGCUCGAAAAGCACAAGGCCACAUGGGAACGCUCCGGACUUGCGAGAUAUAUUGGAGGAUAAGGCAAGACAAUCAAGAUCAAUCUACGGAUCGCCUGGGCGCCCCAUGAUACGUGACGACAACCGUCGCGCCGGACACAGCAAGUCCAGUCGGGCCGAACACAGUAGACAAAGCUCGUUGGAGCUUCGUCGUGAUAUAGCCCAAUACAGAGGCGCCGCACACCCACUAUGCUUCACAGAUGAAGUAAUGGAUCAUCAAAUCCCCGAAGGGUUUAAACCCGUGAAUAUUGAAUCCUAUGAUGGCACAACAGACCCCGCGGUUUGGAUCGAAGACUAUCUCCUUCAUAUCCACAUGGCCUGCGGUGACGAUCUUCACGCCAUCAAAUACCUCCCACUCAAGCUUAAAGGACCAGCUCGGCAUUGGCUUAACAGCUUGCCAGCAGAAUCAAUUGGGUGUUGGGAGGACCUGGAAGCGGCAUUCCUUGAUAACUUCUAGGGCACGUAUGUGCGACCACCAGACGCUGACGACCUAAGCCACAUAACUCAGCAGGCAGACGAAUCGGCCAGACAAUUCCGGACACGGUUCUUAACUAAGAAAAAUCAAAUCGUCGACUGUCCGGAUGCGGAGGCCCUCGCGGCCUUCAAACAUAACAUCCGCGAUGAGUGGCUUGCCCGGCACCUGGGACAGGAAAAGCCGAAAUCCAUGGCAGCCCUCACAUCACUCAUGACCCGCUUCUGCGCGGGAGAGGACAUCUGUCUAGCCCGUAGCAACAACCUCAGCAACAAUUCUGGCAGUCCGGAUACCAAGGACCGCAACGACAGGUCGCGUCGCAACAAGAACAAACGCCGCAUUAAUGACGACAAUAAUGAGGAUACGGCAGUCAAUGCCGGAUUCAGAGGCUCCAAACCCGGUCAGCGGAAAAAGCCAUUCAAAAGAACUACUCCGGGUCCGUCCAAUUUGGACCGAAUACUCGAUCGCUCGUGCCAGAUACACGGCACCCCCGAAAAGCCAGCCAACCACACCAACAGGGAUUGUUGGGUAUUCAAGCAGGCAGGCAAGCUAAUUGCCGAAAACAAUGGCAAGGGGCUGCAUAACGAUGACGAAGAAGAGACCCGACCACCGAACAAUAGAGGACAGAAGGGUUUCCCCCCACAAGUGCGGACGGUGAACAUGAUAUACGCAACCCACAUACCCAAGAGGGAGCGGAAGCGUGCACUCAGGGACGUAUACGCGAUGGAGCCAGUCGCCCCGAAGUUCAACCCAUGGUUCUCCUGCCCGAUCACUUUUGAUCGAAGGGACCACCCCACAAGCAUCCGCCACGGCGGAUUCGCCGCAUUGGUUUUAGACCCAAUCAUCAAUGGAUUUCACCUCACCAGAGUCCUAAUGGACGGCGGCAGCAGCCUGAACCUGCUUUAUCAGGACACAGUGUGCAAGAUGGGCAUAGACCCCUCAAGGAUUAAACCCACAAAGACGACCUUCAAAGGCGUCAUACCAGGUGUAGAGGCCAAUUGUACAGGCUCAGUUACACAGGAAGUGGUCUUCGGAUCCCCGGAUAACUUCCGAAGCGAGGAGUUAAUCUUUGACAUAGUUCCGUUCCGCAUCGGCUAUCAUGCUCUGCUCGGACGGACCGCGUUUGCAAAGUUCAACGUGGUGCCGCACUAUGCAUACCUCAAGCUCAAGAUGCCAGUCCCUCGAGGAGUCAUCACGGUCAACGGAAACAUUGAACGCUCCCUCCGAACGGAGGAACAUACAGCGGCUCUCGCGGCAGAAGUACAAUGCAGCCUCUUAAGGCAAUUCUUGAGUCCGGCCGUUAAGCGACCGGACACGGCUAAACGCGCCCGGAGUAACCUACAACAAGACCACCUGGCACGUUCCGAGCAUGCGUAGCAAUGCGGCCCCAACCCCAGCCCUCGCAAGAUUGCAAGACUGGUCCUUCGCGUACAUCAUUAUGCUCUGGAGAUACCAUGGGCAUAGGGGAGGGGCACGACCACGACAGGCCCAGAAUGCAGCUUAACCACACCAGGGGCUCCCAAGUGUGUCAUUCUUUUUUUUCUUUUUCUUUCUUACCCACAGGACUCCGUUCACCAGAGGCCCUGUCCGGCAGUAGACCGGCCGAACUCACGAUGCAACAGCCAGGGAAGGAGAAAGGCUACGACGAAUAUCCAAGUGGUCUCCAUUACGAGCAUUAAAUCUGUUUUAUACACCAUUCCGCAGCCUACCCCUGGAGGGGGACAUGUUUAAUAGUCCCAUCCCUUGCUUACUGCACUACUUGUAUCAUUCUGCAUUCAUGGCAAUAUUUCUUGAAUAAACAAUGUAGCACCUUUUUGCUUACAAUUGCAUUCCUUUCUUAUACAUAUGUUCAUUUAUGACAUGUCGCAUCCGUACACUUUGGUACGGCUAAAUACACCAGGGGCUUAAGUUCCCCACAUUAUGGUGUGAUAAGUCCGAACACUUUCACAAGUGCGGCACCCGAACUUAUAGCAUUAUAUGCAUCGGCUCCGAAUCAUGUCUUGGGUCAAUAGUUGGGUGUGCCGGGCUCCCAUGUUUUGGUACCUUACGUUCCGUUGUAUCGGCUAAGGUAGCACUAGGAGAAUCACUGCGAUUGCGCCCCAGUUGAGCUGGGCGAGCGCCUCAGUGGAGAAAGCUAAAACUGACCGUCAUGAUGAGGCAAGAGCCGGUCGCUGUUCGAGAGGUUUUUUCGAGUCCCUAAAGACUUAUGCCGCUUAGAGCGAGGAACCGGCUUUGUCCGGCCCAGGCGUGGAUAGCGCCCCGAAUUCGGCCUUCCGAACACUAGGGGCUUCGCCGAAAUUUAAAAUUAUAGAAUUCUAUGGCUAAGUGAGAGUGUUCAAGCAUUAUAAGUCUGGUUGCCUCGUUCGUUGUGUUGAGCGCCUCCCUAGAUGGACCCAAAUAUGGGAACAAGAGUGCUCAAAUUUAUCCCGAACACCCCAGCACUCGUGGCAUGGGGGCUGAAGCCAACGACUUGCCAUCUCUCAGAUUUGAUAAACAGCCGCACAGAAGGUAAUAUUUUAAAUCAACAAGCGUUGCUUAGCGCAUAUGAACAAUGUUUUCAGCGCACAGGAUAACAAAAUGCGAGUCUACUCAAAUAUUACAUUUCUGGAGCACUCACCCGCAAUAAUGCGGGCACCCUUCAGGACACCCUUAUAAUACAUCUCGAGCGUGCGAUACUCCUUGCCCAGUGGUGGCACGUCCGUCGCAAGCUUCUCAGCAUCCAUCUUGCCCCAGUGCACCUUAGCACGGGCAAGGGCCCGACGGGCACCUUCAAUACAGGCGGAUUGCUUGAUGACUUCAACCCAUGGACAAGCAUCCACCAGCCACCGCACCAGGCCGAAGUAGCUCCCAGGCAUGGCCUCCUUGGGCCACAGUCAAACUAUGAGGCCCUUCAUGGCCUGUUCGGCCACCUUGUGGAGCUCGACCAGCUGCUUCAGCUGGUCGCUAAGGGGCACCGGAUGUCCGACGUCAGCAUACUGAGACCAGAAGACCUUCUCCGUCGAGCUCCCCUCCUCGGCCCUGUAGAAAGCGGCAGCAUCGGACACGCUGCGGGGCAGAUCUGCGAAGGCUCCUGGAGAGCUCCGAAUUCGGGUAAGUAACAGGUAAUUCACAUUCACAUGCUUGCUUUGCAUGAAAAAUGCCUUACCCGCCGCUAUUUUCUUCAAUGCCUCGAUUUCCUGAAGGGCCUUGUGGGCUUCGGCCUUAGCGGCUUUGGCACUCUCAAGAGCUGAUGCAAGCUCAGACUCUCGAGUCUUCGAGUCGCGCUCCAAACUCUCAUGCUUUUCCACGAGAGCCUGGAGCUCUUGAUGUACCUCCGCCACCCGCGCCUCCUGCUUCUCUCGCCCAGCAUGCUCCACGGCCGCAUUACGUACGGCCACGGACACCGCCUCCUUCAGGGUCGCCACCUUGUUCGUGGCCCCUAAAGUACCCACGUUAUCCUUGUCAUUUCUCUUGCAACCAAAUUCUUUUAUGUAAGGUACAACUUUAAUAAGGUGUUACUCACCUUCUUUGUCCUCGAGCUGCUUCUUGGCACGGCCGAGCUUGUUCUCGGGCCGCUCGAGGCUUUGCUUCAAAGCAUCAACCUCCGCAGUCAGUGCGGCAGAGGUCAGCAGCGCAGCCUGCAAUCCCAUAUUGACAUAUUUUUUAAGACUCCUGCGUAUAUCUUUUUAGAUCCUCAGUCUGGCUUUUCUUUCCGAACACCGAACCGAGCAUCAGGGGCUACUGUCUAUGUGGUACUAUUUUACAUAUAUUAAUAUUCUUACCUCAAAGCCUGUUAAAAGGCUGCUGCAGGCUUCAUUCAGCCCGCUUUUGGUGAGCUGAACCUUCUGAAUCACCGCACUCAUGACAGUGCGGUGUUCCUCCUCGAUGGAAGCGCCGUUGAGCGCCUCCAGCAAGUUAUCCGGCGCCUCCGGUUGGACGGAGGCCGCUGGCGUCACGGUCUUGCCCUUCUUACGAAGGGGCCUCAUGCCGGACUCCAGAACCACUGCAGGUUCCGGUGCGGAGUCCGGUACGAAGUCCGGGAGGUUGCCACAUGGCACCUCUGGGGCCUCCUCUUCCGGGUGGGUCCCUCUCUGGGAUCCCACCUCAGCGUCGUCGGCGUCACGGGGGGUGGAGGCGGUUGGAAGUGAAGUACUAUCCACAUCCGACGUACCCAAGGAUCUGCUCGACGAAGCGGGAAGAUCGUCCUUGGGCAGACUGCAGGGUUGUAUGCGGCAUUAGAAAGACACUGUGUGGCGAAAAGAAAAAUCAUGAAGUUAUUCGGGAGUCCGGAUACUUAUGAUCUCGCCAGGGGCUUGGCCCUUGAAGGCCAAUCCUUGUCAUCGUCACCGGCGUUGGCGGAACAGUUUGGGGGAAGAGUCCUUCCCUUCUUGGACCCUUCGGCCUCCCUCGUUGGGGAGGCCUUCCUUUUCUUCCCUCCCCCCACUGGGGGAGAGGCCUCUUUCUUCUCCUCCUCGUCCUCGUGGGAGGAGUCCGCCUCGGAGUCAUCGGACGAUGAGUCUGAUAACACCUAAAAACGGGCACUCUUUCGAGUGCCCGUGGCAUUCUUCUUGGCCUUCUUCUCCGGCACUACGUGGGGUGCCGGAACCAGCAACCCUGUUAAGCAGGUGUCUGUUGGGUCUUCUGGCAAAGGAGCCGGACAGUUAGUCUGCCUGGCCUUCUUCAGCCAGUCCUGUCAAAGGAGAGGGAGUUUAGAUCCCACAUAGAGUCAAACUAUGAAAAGCAAGUGUCCCAUAAAGGAUAACAUGGCUUACCUCGUCAGCUGGACGCUGCGAGCGGAAUCCGCGAUCUUCAGUAGCGGAUGCGGGGGCCUCGGCGCCCUUGAACAGCACCUUCCAGGCCUCUUCGUACAUAGUGUCGAAGAGCCUGUUCAAGGUUCGGUGCUGGGCCGGAUCAAACUCCCACAAUUUAAAGGCCCGUUGUUGGCACGGGAGAAUCCGGCGGAUGAGCAUGACCUGGACUACGUUGACAAGCUUGAACUUCUUGUUCACUAGCUUUUGGACGCAGGCUUGGAGUCCGGUCAGCUCCUCCGAAUCGCCCCAGGUCAGGCCACUCUCUUUCCAAGAGGUGAGCCGUGUGGGGAUGCCAGAUCUGAAUUCGGGGGCCGCUACCCGUUUAGGGUCACGCGGCUCGGUGAUGUAGAACCACCCCGAUUGCCACCCCUUGAUGGUUUCCACGAAGGCGCCCUCGAGCCAAGUAACGUUGGGCAUCUUGCCCACCAUGGCGCCUCCGCACUCCGCUUGGCUGCCCUUCACAACCUUCGGCUUGACAUUGAAGGUCUUGAGCCACAAGCCUAAGUGGGGCUGGAUGCAGAGGAAGGCCUCGCACACGACGAUAAACGCCGAGAUGUUAAGGAUGAAAUUCGGGGCAAGAUCAUGGAAAUCCAGGCCGUAGUAGAACAUGAGCCCCCGGACAAAGGGGUGAAGUGGGAAGCCCAGUCCGCGUAGGAAAUGGGGAAGGAAUACCACCCUCUCAUGGGGCCCGGGGGUGGGGAUGAGCUGCCCCUCGUCGAGGAGUCGGUGCGCGAUGUCGCUGGACAGAUAUCCGGUGCUGCGCAGCUUCUUGAUGUGCCCCUCCAUAACGGAGGAGGCCAUCCACUUGCCUCCCGCUCCGGACAUAGUUGGAGAAGGUUGAGGUGAGAUGUGCGGACUUGGGCGCUGGAGCUCGAGUGCGCGGAGAUGGAUAAGCAAAGGAGGAAGAAGGCGCAGGUAAAAAGGUGGAUCCUUAUCCCCUUAUAUAUGGGCGGACGAAACUAUGCGUCCCCACCGGCCUGGUAAAACUCGCUUUUCUCCCAAGUGCCGCAAUAAAUGGCGUGGUUGGGUUGCCCACGUCCGUAUUGAUGGGAAUCCCGGAAUAAGGGGAACACGAUCUCUGCUUCGACAAGACGUGCCAAGGAAACCGCUUCGCUAAACGCGCUGAGGUGGUAUAAUAAAAACGAUUCAAGUAAAGGCUUGGUUGUGGUGUGACGUCACGCCAUGGAAUACGUCAGCAGAUUGAACUUGUGUAAAUAUUAUUCUCUCUAUGGUGGAAUGUGGAAUUUACUUUGCAGAGCCGGACACUAUCCUGGUGUUCACAAUCUUCUAUAAAUUAUUCGGAGAAGGAACCCGCCUUGCAAUGCCGAAGACAAUAUGCGCGCCGGACUCGUCGUCAUUGAGGCCUGGUUCAGGGGCUACUGAGGGAGUCCUGGACUAGGGGGUGUCCGGAUAGCCGAACUAUCAUCAUCGGCCGGACUCCAAGACUAUGAAGAUACAAGAUUGAAGACUUCGUCCCGUGUCUGGAUGGGACUUUCCUUGGCGUGGAAGGCAAGCUUGGCGAUACGGAUAUGUAGAUCUCCUACCAUUGUAACCGACUCUGUGUAACCCUAUCCCUCUCCGGUGUCUACAUAAACCGGAUGGUUUUAGUCCAUAGGAAAAAUAACAAUCAUACCAUAGGCUAGCUUCUAGGGUUUAGCCUCCUUGAUCUCGUGGUAGAUCCACUCUUGUAAUACCCACAUCAUCAAUAUUAAUCAAGCAGGACGUAGGGUUUUACCUCCAUCAAGAGGGCCCGAACCUGGGUAAAACAUCAUGUCCCUCGUCUCCUAUUACCAUCCGCUUAGACGCACAGUUCGGGACCCCCUACCCGAGAUCCGCCGGUUUUGACACCGACAGCAGCCGAUACUGUGUGUACCAUGACCUCCACACCCACAACACCAACGAAUGUCAAGAGCUCCGGGCCAUGCGAGAAGGAAGGAUCGGCCGACGCCCUGACUGUAGCGACCGGGGCUACGGUCGAGGAGGAGGAAGGAAUGCCGAACGCUGGGAAGACCGCGGCCCACGCCAAGGGUGGCGCGACCGACCUCGCGAGGAUUGCUAGCAAGACCCGCCUCGCGAGGGAGACUGGAGGGAUCAGCCUCGCGAGGAUCGCUCGCAUGGCAACGCAGGCCUCCCUCCACUGCCGCCUCAGCCAAGAAGAAACGAGGACCAUCAUCAGGAUGAGGGGGCUGGGGGCUUCUAGGAGCCAUGCGCGAUCGCCUGCAUCCUGGGCGGAGCUCAAGCCCCAGCCUCUUAGCGCAUCUUCAAGCAGUUCGCCCGCGAAGUGAACGCAGUCCUCCCCAAGCUCGAAGCCACGCGCUCUCUUAGGUGGUCGGCGUGCGCCAUCACGUUCAGCUUAGUGGAUCAGCUCAAGUGCGCUGCCACAGCCGGAGUCCUCCCGAUGCUCUAUUCCCCGAUCAUCAGCAACGUGCUAGUCACCAGGACUCUCAUCGAUGGUGGGGCAGGGCUCAAUGUCCUGUCCAUGGAAACAUUCAACAAUCUUCAAGUGCCCUAUGAUCAGCUUCAGCCAACCAAGCCUUUCUCCGGAGUCACCGAUGACUCCAUGGUCCCGAUUGGACAGGUUCGCCUCCCUGUCACCUUCGGGACACGGGACAACUACCGCACGGAGCUCAUUGACUUCGACGUCGCUCACAUCCGCCUGCCGUACAACGCCAUCCUCGGGUACCCGACGCUGGCCAAGUUCAUGGCCAUGGCUCACCAUGGCUACAACGUGCUCAAGAUGCCCGGAAGUGGCGGGGUCAUCAUGGUACCUUGUGAGGAGAAAGACGCGGUGUGCUCCCUGGAGCGAGCCUUUCAGGCCACAUCACUGGACGAUCCGGACCGCGGAAGCAGGAGUCUCCCCGAGGCCGCCCCCAAGAAGAAGAAGACAUUGUCCGGCCUGGCCCCUCAGGAGGCAGGUCCCUCAGGGCCCGCGCCUGCCCAGGGGGAACCUCCUUCUAUCGCAUAGGAAAGUGCGCCCAGCACCCCUCUAAGGCAGGGCUCAGGGGCUCUCCCCUGGAGGGCCGCCGACCUUGCCAAGGUCACGAGGAAGGCGCUUGGGCACCACUUGGAGGCGUGUUUCGGAGCACGCUUCCCCCAAGAAGGAGCAAGACAAGGAGGGCCGAACCCUCAGGAGUUUGUCAGCAAGGUCGUUCAGGAGUUACAGGAGUCAAGGAUCAUGAGUGGCAGCCGCCGCUUACCCGCUGCAGCUCCCCAUCCAGGAGCGGAUGGCGGGCUGCGCGUCUGCAUCGACAUCCCAAGGCUCAACCGAGUCGCCUCUCAGGAGCGCUUCUGGCCCUCAUGUGUGGGGCGCUGCGGGGGCCCACCCCACAGCUACGUUUGCAUGCCCUACGGCUUGCCGAACGCGGCUGCGGUAUGCCAACGCCUCAUGAGGAGUAUCUUGGAGGCCCAGGAGGCCAGGCACUCUGCAGUCCUGGCGGAGAUGGAGAUGGUUCGCGAGGAGCCACCAGAGCCCCCGAAGCAUCCCGAGGCUUCUGGGCCUGGGGGCUCAUGAGGAUCGACACCCGCAGCCCGCUACCUCUGCUACCUCAACACCCCAGCAUCGUCAACACUAUCAGGUGACAUCUUUCUAGUUUCAUUUCUAGCUGGGAGCGCCCCCCAGGGCCGCAUCAUCCCUAGGCCGCGUGGGUCCAUCCCUGCGGCGUGUAUCCCUUUUAUUUCAUGUUCUUAGCUCACUUCGUUGGGGGCACCCCUCGGGCUGCAUCAUCCCCAAGUCGCUUGGGUCAGACCCAGCGGUGUGUAUCCCUCUUGCAUUUAUUUUCAGGCUAUGCAUUAGACCCAUCAUGCUUGUUAUUUGGUGCCUGUCCAUAGCACCCCUUCUCCCUUGAUGAUGGAAGCUUGUUCGCGUUAAAGGGGGGGGUACCCGAGCAUCGUGACUCAGGGCUCCUACCGGCUCUCCAGCCCUCACCCUCUGGCUUUGCCCAUGGCAUCGCGCCCCGGCAAACCAGCGGCGCAAGAUCGGGGGCUCGUAGCUGUCGUCACUCAUCUCCGGAGUCGCGAAGAGCUCGGCGGAGUCGCUGGAUCCUCUGGCGCCCUCGUCGCUCGAAGAGCUGCUGGAAGAGUGUGCGACGACAGGUCUGGUCCUAGCCGCUCUGGGGCUUCUGCCACUGCCCCAGGGACAGCACUCCAGCCGACGCCCAUCCUCGUCAAAGAUCUUGAAGAGCAUCAUGGAAGCACCAUCGAACUCCAGGUGGAUCACGAGGGCACCCCUCGUCCUGCAAACCCGGGCGAUCUCGCCCCAGCCCCGGGUCAUGAAGACCUUACCUGGGGCGACGACCUCGACAUCCGCAUCGGUCGCAGGAGUUGGACAAUCGGCGUGCUGCAGCCAGAGUCGGAAGGGCCCCCUCGGCGGGAUCUCGAAGGCGAAGGAAGGAGGAAGGCGAAUCCAAGAUCGAGGAGGCAUCGCCGCGUGGAGCACAAACUCUCGGGAGGAGCCCUCGGCAUGGACUCCAGGGGGAAAGACGCGCACCUUCGUGACCCGCCGGCGCCGGCGGCGUCGCCGCUCGUGGCGCUCGGCAUCAACUCCUUCAGAACCCUCGAUGUGGGCAUACAGGGGAAGCGGGAACCCUGGUGGCGGCCGCUCGCACCAGGGCCUCGACACCUCCUGGUGGGCGCCUUCACCCCGAUGGCAGAGAACCAGCCGUUUCUUCGGCGGGAGCGGGUCAGGACCCUUUCGGGGGGCCUUUCCCUUCUCCGCCGCGGAGAACCGGUGGAUCGGAGCCAUUGCAGCUAGACGGAGCAAGGACCGGGAAGAAGGAGAAGCAAGGAGAGAAUGGACUGGAAGGGGACUUGUCGAUCCGCGCAGUCGCCGAGGCAUCAUGGGGAAGUGGAGACGCCAACGUCCCAUCAACCGCCACGCGGCGCCCAAGGCCGCAGGCUGUUAGGGCCCGCGACGCUUCGCACUUGCCCUUUCGCCUCUCUGCUCGGCCAAGUCCGGGCGCGCCUUGGGCCCGGGGGCUACUGUCGGCAUUCUGGGAAUGGGGGUCCCCAGACUUGCCUGCCUGCGGCCUGCGGCGUGGCUCGAAGGGGGGCCCAGCACGGCCCAUCUUCAUCAACACGAGCUCAAGACCCUCGCGAGGGGCCAAGCCUCGCGGGGCGGGCGACAAGGAGCUUCCUCAGGCGCGGCCUCAUCAGGCUGGCUCGCGAGGAGGCGGAGAGAUCAAGGCGGGCUACCUCGCGAGGUGCCCAUGACGCAAGCCGUGACGACCAAGGGCGCCAGGCGGGUGCCAUCCCGCGCAGUGUCCUCCUUUCCUCUUUGGUGCAAAGGGGGCAAGCGCAAGCGAGAGUAUCAAGCAAAGGCAUCCGUUUCAGUGCAACAAGACCAAGACCAGUCCAACGGUAGGAUGGAGGUCAUCGUGGAGCCCAAGCCAGCGUCAUCACCAGAACCUUUGGCAGGCGAGGACCAACUUUAGUCAGGAUAAGUGUACCAGAUGUUCCCCUUCAAAAUGACCAAUUGUUGGCGCCCUUCACGCUCAAUAUUUGGGAAGAGGCCCAGGGCCUUUGCCUAUAAAUAGGACUAGCCACCCACAGGGUAGAGGCAUCUGGAUAGGCAUCUUGAUAGGUAUCUGGAGGUAGGAUAGACAUCUCGAAUCAACCCCUCCGAAGGGACAACACCACCACAAGAACAGACCCUCACGAGGCAGUUCUUCCUUGUAUUGUUCAUCAUCAGCCCAAGAGGCAAUCCACCACGCCACACAUUGGAGUAGGGUAUUACACCGCAAUGGUGGCCUGAACCAGUAUAAACACCGUGUCCCUUGUGUUGUUCUUUUGAUAGCUUAGAUCCCAGCAUGGGGGUAGGGUGCAGUUAGGUAGUGGGCGAGAUCUUCGCGCGCACCCCAGUGUUCGAACCUCAAGGGUCUGCUGGAACCUGAAAUCCGACAUACACCUCUCAUCUCUUAUUGGUUGAUACGUAUGCCAAGAAACAAGAAACAAGGUAGAAGUUAAUGCACCGCGCCUAAGUGUUUUGGGACUAUUUGGUUUUCGUAAGAUGACUUACACACCUAGACAGAGGGAGUAGUAUAGACCUGUAAACUAGAAAGGAGUAUUUGCCUUUCUAGAGAUUUCAACAAGUGACUAGACUACACCGUGUGCAGUACCCCCUCCCUUCCGGUUUAUAGGGCUCAAAUCUCAAAUCUCACGAACCAAGGCAUUUUGUGAUUGGAGGAAUGUAUCUCGUACUUUACAAAACGACCCUAGUUAAACUCAUGCAUUAAUUACAUAGUUCUCUCUUUUCCUCUCCGCCUUGGUCGCGGUGCACAAUAUUGAGCACUCCUAUAUGACUAGCCACUCUAUCUACAUACGGGACAUUUCAAAGCAUCUGGGCCCGCAUGCCAUCCACCAAAUCACAGCGAGGUGCUACAGUCGAGACUCACCUGUCACCCCGGUGUGGCCGUCAUGACCCGUCAUAUCACAAAACCCACACCUUUACCAACAGUGGUAAGGUGGCCUCCAAGUUGGACUGGACAAAGCAACCAUCAUUUCAUUGGAACGCUCGUUCAAGCCCUUUCUUCCCUUUCUUGAAGAAAAUCUCACUCCAGGCUACUCGCUUUUGCCAUUUUUCUUCUAUACCGACGAAGGAAAGGUGGGCGAAUCAGUUAUGCUGCUAUAUUUUCAUUCCAAUAAUCUUCUUUUUGCGAAGCACCGACUGAUUCUCACAUCCUAUUCUUUUCCCGUUUUCAUUGCGAUUGUGGUUUCCUUUCGAUUGCUUUUUGUUUGUCAGAUCAUUGAUGGAUCCUGGAGCACUAGGCAAAGAGUUGCCGGUGGACAACCCACUGGAGACAAUGAUCUCCAGGAAGCGAGCACUGAACAACGAGUUGACCAUGUUGUCAGGCCAACCCAUGGAGACAAAGAACUCCAAGAAAGAAGCACUGGCCAAAGAGUUGAGGACGUUGGCGGACGAACUCCUCAAAGAAAGUUGGAAGAACAUCAAGGGCCCCACCGUGCCUACCCCAGGAACUCUGACUGCCACCUAUGUGAGGCUCAAGACCGAGUUUGAGGAGAUAGUCGCUGUUGAGAAGCAGUAUUCCCCUGGCAAGGUGAUGGCCCCCAUCGAGGACGAGGAGAUGGCCCCUGGAGGGAUGAGAUCCCCCGGUGAGCUGCAUAAGGUAAAAAAUAAUGGCUUAUUACCAUAGUUGUGGUUUUUGAUUAUUUGCAAUGUGCUUGCUAAUAUGUUAGGGUUGUGCAGGUGCCGGUGGUUGUCCUUGAUGAUUUCGAUGUCGUGGCCCGUCCUGAUGGCAUCGCCCCAGAGAUCGAUUCCGAUGCCGCAGUCCAUCCUGUGGACAUCGCCCCAGAGAUCGAUUCUGAUGUCACGGUCAGUCCUGUGGACAUCGCCCUAGAAAUCGAUUCCCAUGCCGCUGUCUGUGCUAUGGUCAUUGCCCGAGCGUUCGAUGACAAGAAAUAGUUGGUCGCACUAAUCCUUCAGGGUAGUUUGCAUUAACCUGUCUUUAAUUACCAGAAUGAUGCGUGUUAUCAAACCAUCUUAGGUCUAGUGCACUGUCUUGUGUGGGCGGAUGUUGCUACUUUUGUUUGAUAGUGAAUCAUGCGAUUAAUCAUGCGAACCCUCUCCGAGUUAUGGAAACAGUUGUAUCCUCACCAGCUUUUGAUGUAAUAUAUGGCAUGCUUAGAUGUAAGUUUGAACUGUUUAUCAUAUCAGCAGGGCUUGUUUGAUGAUUCUUGGUGUUAGUAGGCUAGCUACUGUGCGAGCUAUAGUACUUGCAAAACACUCACCGACGAGAAACGUUGGGGCUGAUGAGCUUGUGGUACGCUUAUACUUAUCCCUCGUUGAUCGACCAAUAGCCCUAGCUCCUAAAAUUGUAGGCUUAGCGAUCGAUCAGACAAUAGUCGACAUACAUUCAGGCCUCAUUUGGUUUAUAGGGUAGGAAAAUCGUAGCAAAAGUAUAGAGAACGUGCAUCACAAAAUCAUAGCAGUGUAGAGACGUACUCCCUCCGUUCCAAAAUAGAUGACCUAGGCGGGCUAGUUUGGCCUAGUGGGUUUCAGUGGUAUGACGUGGUACAGUGCCGUCCAGUCUUCGCGUGUGGUAGCAGUAUUGCGGGUAUAGUAAGUUUUCUUGAAAAAGCGGAAUUCAACGAAGUCAUGAUGGUUCCUUCGUCCGAACAACUUACAGUGGGAAAGGUUGGACCUGUGAUACGACCGGGGUAGACCAGGAUAAUUUUGUGCAUGGCAGGUGGACCAGGAUGGUCGAUGUCCCACAUGUCGGCGAAUGAAAGUAUUAUUUUCGAUAUAGAGGACGAGCAACGAGUAUUCAUUGUUUAUUUUUGAUGAAAGCUAUUGUCUCCACUGUUACUCCUUGACUUUGUCAAUGCCUCUCUCUCCUCCACAUAAGCGGGGACUACUUGCUAUGCACGCAGCGGGCAGCUGGCAUCUUGAGGGGCCAGGGCGGUGAGAGCGGGCUCCGGAAGCGGUCCGGACUCUAGCAUGGCCCACCUCACGUUAUCACCAUAUAUUUCUUGGAGUCCGUGCGCGGCGGGCGGGCGAUCUCUUCUCCCUCCCCCAUUUCUCUCUUCUCAGCCGACGCCCGCCGAGCGAUUAGAUUUCGGCUAUCGACAUUUUAUUCAAUUACGGUCCCAUAUGUCAGUGAAAUUGCAAGACAACGCGUGUCCCCUCUGGUGAGCGGCGUGGGAGCCGGACUGUUGGGGUUGCGACGUGUACGAGUCGUAAGUGUGCCACCUUUUCCUUUAGAACUUGCGAAGCAUAACAUUUUCACGUGAUCGAUCGAUAGAAAUCCAGAACAAAAUGAUGAGGGCGGUGCUUUCCCGCUCGUUAGGCGGGCUAGUUCGAGUGAUAUGACGUGCCACAGUGCCGUCCACUUGCUCCAUUUUUAUUGAAGCAAGAGUUUACACUCUUACGCGGGAGGAGUGCGAAACACCGCGGAUCUGAUUUUUGAUCGAGGGAUAACUGUUCCCUGCCAAAUAAUGGAGGAUUGUUUGCGAUUAUAGGAUGAUAGUUAGGGCAUCUCCAGCACUGGCCCACAAAUUUACACCGGCAUCUGUCCAAGGACACUGAUGGAUGCCAUCCAGUGCUGCCCGCAUAACUUUCGACAACUAUAUGAACU
rnacentral:lncRNA from 1 species